UGGGAAAAUGAUCAGCUGGAUGCUGUAUUAGCCAGCCUCUGCAUGAUUUUUUAUGCAGAACAAACAGCUCCAAAUGUCAGUGUUUUCAACAACUCGUGUUUAUUUCUCACUCAUGAUGCAUGUUGCCUGAUGGUAGGCUGCUGUUCUAACCUCAACUGCAAUAUCAGCUUCAUUCAGGGAACACGUUGUUGUCAAGGAAAAGAAAAAGAACAUGGUCAGACUUUCAAAAGUUCUUAACGUUUCUACUUUGGAAGAGACGUGGCGUUGCCUCUGUCAUUCCAUCGGCUGAAGCAAAUCAAGCAUAUAAGCCAGAAGCCAUUGCACUAUAGGAAGGGUAGCAAAUACCAGAACAGUAAUACAGCCUAGCACAGGUGGGGUCAAGCAGAUUCAACAUGCACUGACUAAAGACUUAGACUUCUCAAGCAAAUUGCAUCCUGGUGUGCACCUGGUGUAUCCUUUAGGGUUUUUUUUUUUUUUUUGGAGACAGAGUCUCGCUCUGCUGCCCAGGCUGGAGUGCAGUGGCAUGAUCUUGGCUCACUGCAGCCUCUGCUCCUGGGUUCAAGUGAUUCUCCUGUCUCAGCCUCCCAAGUAGCUGGGAUUACAGGCGUGUACCACCACACCUGGCUAAUUUUUGUAUCUUUAGUAGAGACAGAGUUUCACCACGUUGGCCAGGCUGGUCUUGAACACCUGACCUCAGGUGAUCUGCCUGCCUUGGCCUCCCAAAGUGCUGGGAUUACAGGCGUGAGCCAGCGUGCCCAGCCCAGGGUCCUUUAGUGCUGGUAGAUCUAGGUCAGAACAAGGGAGUUUGUAUUAGCUGCUCCUUUCAGGCCAGAUUUUGCUUGUAGCACAGUGAGGAGGUAUCCUCUGGAGAGCGCUGUUUCCCAUGAGUAAUUCUAAUGAAGAGGUGUAAAUGGAUGAGAAUGCAAAGCAACUGCAAGGGCCUUUGAAGGUUUGUGAAGGAUGGCAAAGGGUCUUGGGUGUUAAUUUCUGAAAGAGAUAAAACUUGAAGUUAGACGAGCUCUCUGCGUCCAAACAUUUGAUGGGUCAUCCUAAGGUGGAGCGGGGGGGGCUUAUCUCUUUUAUGGUAAGCAGCAUGGCAUAGGCCUCAGAGUCAGGCAGCCGGGGCCCAGCCUUUUCUCUGCAGGUGCAGGCAGCCCUUGCACAUGAUGUAGGUUUUUGUUUUGUUUUGGUUUCUAGAAAGGGUCUCUGUCUUUUGCGUAGCCCGGAGUGCAGUGGUACAAUCAUCCUGAAACUCCAGGGCUCAAGCAGUCCCUCCCACAUCAUUUUCCCAAGUGGGACUACAGCCGUGCACCACCAGACCUGGCUAAUUUUAAUUUUAUUUUUUAUAGAGAUGGAGACUUGCUAUGUUGCCCAGGCAGGUCUCAAACUCCUGGCCUCUCAAGCCAUCCUGCAGCCUCAGCCUCCCGAAGUGCUGGGAUUGCAGGCAUGAGCCACCCCAUCCCGCCCAUGUUAAUUUUGUCACUUAUAGAAUGAAGACUACAAUAUUUACUUGGCAGGAUUGCUCUGAGGAUUAGAACCACCAUCUCUAAGACAUUCAUCGUAGUCCCUGGGAUAACAUGAGUGCUCAAGAAAUAGUAAACGUUAGUUAGUGUGUGUGUCAUUGUUUUCCAGAUGCUGUGGCAUCACGACAACCUUGCCUUUCACUCGCCUGUGCAUCUGUGACACUGUCCCUCUGAGAACACUACCCGGUACUUCUGGAUUCCCCAAGAGGUGCCUCUUGAGAGUUGGUGGAGAGACUGUGCUUUAGAAACUCAUGGUUUCUGCCCUCAGCUUCUCUCACACGAGGCCUUCCCACUUGAUCCUCUGCUCACAGUGACAUGUGAGGGUUCCCCUCCAUGCCUGCUGAUGCUGGUGCCCAUCGCUCUUGACCACAUUGACAUCUAUGCCCAGGGCCCAUUUCCCGGCAUUCCCAACACCAGGAGCUUCUCCGGGACUAGGGCGGGGAUCAUGCUUUCAGAAACCUGAGUGUAUGGAAGCCCUAGUGUGUUCCCCGAAGUCCUGAUGAGUGAGCUGGCCCCAUGCUGUGUUGCACUUGGUCUUCUGGACCCUGGAGCUCCCUGAGUGUCCCUGUUACAAGGCUCCUCCUGAAACUAGAUUGGUAUCUAUGAGGGUCAUCUGGGAAACCUAGCUCUGGCAGAAUCACUGUCCCACCGAUUUCCUUCCACCUCACAUGGGGCAUUUACCCUUUCUCUUGCCACAAAACCUGCAUGCACGUCAUCUGAUGGAAUCGACCCAUAGUGGGUGUUCCACCGUUUCAGUACACCUGGAUUCCAGAUGAAAGUUGCGACCAGCACGGCUCUUGCUGUGUGAGUACUGCUGGAGAAGGCUGCAGAAUGCCUGGGAAAGCUAAGCACUAGUGGGAGAAAGGUCCCCGCGCUUAAAAAGAACUUUCCAGCCAAGAAUGCUUUCCAAAAUGGGAACAAGAUCCCAACUUUCUAUCGGAAACAUUGGGGGCCAGAUGUGUUUCAGAAUUCACAGGUUUUUAAAUUGUAGGAAGGGGAUACACUGCAUAUUCUGUGUAUUACCAGGGUCGGCAAAUUCACAGUCCAUGGGCCAAAUCUGGCCUGUUUUUGUAAAUAAAGUUUUAUUGCUCUACAGCUAUACCCAUUGGUUUACAUGUUGCCCAUGGCUACCUUCAGCUACAGUGACAGAGCUGAGUAGUCAGGACAGUAACCGUAUGCCCACGAAGCCUAAAACAUUUACUGUCUGGCUCUUUGCAGAAAAUGUGCUGAACCUCCUGUGAUGUGUCACCCCUGGAGGCAGCACCUUGUAAUUAAGCACAUGAAUAUCUCACAUCAGAAUGAAUGAAUAUUCACGCUCAGUGGGUUAAAUAACUUCUGUCAGCUGUAUACUGCUUUUGCCAUCAAAUGGUUAUUGAAAGAACUAUUUGUGUUGAGAGCCUUUUGGGUUUUAUAGAGUCCUUUCCAGCUUGGGCACUGUGGAUAAGUAGAUGCACACAGCAGAGGGAAUCAGGUAGAAUGAGAUGGUGUAUUUAUGUGUGUUCUGUUCUGUUUUUGGUAAAAUCAUGCUUAGCAUAUCUUCAACACAUCAUUUAUUCUGAGUCUGGAUUGCUGCCUUUGAGCCCGGGCCCUGAAGUAUCUCCUGUACUCUGGCCAGGGUGUGGGUGGCAGGUCCUCUGGACCAGCCCAUAUCCAGCCUCUGCAUGGUGUGUGUCCUGCUGGGUUCACUUCCGUGUCAUUUCUCAAGCUGGCCCUGGGGAGCAGAUUCAACACCUGUUGGUGACAAUCUCUUAAUUUCAGGAAAAUAUGUGGGUCUUUGGGCUAGAAGGACAUAGGUACAUGGCAGAUGAGGGACCACCCCCUCCACCUUAGUCCAGUUCCGGGGACUCCCCUCUUUGAUACUAAGGCUAGAUGAAGGAGGACAGGGGACCAACAGCAGGCUCUGCCUUGAUGUAUUUUAUGUAUGCUCCAAGUAUUAACCGAGUUGUCUUUUUAUUUGUUUGUUUUUGUAAUUAUUAUGCAUUUUAAAAUUUUACUUUUAGUUUUGGGAUGCAUGUGCAGAACGUACAGAUUUGUUACGUAGGUAUACAUGUGCCAUGGUGGUUUGCUGCACCCGUCAACCCAUCUUUUAAAUGCAUUCUUAGAUUUCCCUUUUCUAUUGCUGUUUGUGUUGCUUAAUCAGUCGACACCUGUUUAAUAAUCUCUUGCUCUGGGCUGUGUUAUAUGCAGCUCCCUCCCUAAUCUCACUAGAAGGUAGGGCUAAUGCCUUGUCAGUUCAAAAAUAGGGGGUGAACCUGAGUCUGGGAACACUCUUGUGAAAUUCUAUGUAUAAAAUCAUUUGUACAAGUAUAUGUUUUAAGCUGAAUUAAGAUACCUGUAUUUCCACUAUUUUUUGGAGAUUGUAGGUUAAGUAACAUGAUAAGAACUCUACAUUAUUUGAUUGGUCAUCAACACUGUGGAAGCUGCUAAUAGGAGAUCCAGAGUUUAAGGCUCUGCUACCCCUAGGUCAUGUGAUGCCUUUGUUCCCUUCUCUGCAACUCAAUACCUGGUGUAUAGUUGGCUAAAAAGCAGGCUGGGGCUGGGUGAAGCUCCUCAUCCCUGUUAUUUUCCACAUGUAGGGAGGCUGGAAUCUCUUGAGGCCCAGCAUUCAAGACCAGGCUGGGCAAUAUAGCAUGACCCAUCUCUACAAUAAAUUUAAAACACAGUUGGGUGUGGUAGUAGACACCUCUAGUCCCAGCUACUUGGGACUACUGGAAAGAUGAGGUGAGAGAAUCCUCUGAGCCCAGAAGUUAGAGGCUGCUAUCGCUAAAAUUGCACCACUGCAUUCCAGCCUGGGCAGCAGAGCAAGACCUUGUUCCCAAAAAAUAAAUACAUAAUAAAUACAUAGGGAGGGAAGAGAUGCUGUCUUAGGAAAUCAAUAGGGUAAUCUUUAAGAAGAUAACGUUAGUGGCCGGGUGCAGUGGCUUACACUCGUAAUCCCAGAACUUUGGGAGGGCAAGGCGGAUGGAUCACCUGAGGUCAGGAGUUUGAGACCAGCCUAACCAACAUGGAGAAACUCCAUCUCUACUAAAAAUACUAAAUUAGCCAAGUAUGGUGGCACAUACCUGUAAUCCCAGCUACUUGGAAGGCCAAGGCAGAAUUGCUUGAACCUGGGAGGUGGAGGUUGCAGUGAGCCGAGUUUGUACCACUGCAUUCCAGUCUGGGCAACAAAGGGAGACUCCAUCUAAAAUAAUAAUCAAGUGAAUAAAAGAGCACUAACCCCACUCAGGGAGACUUCACUCUCAUGACUAAUCACCUCCCAAAGGCCCCACUUCCUAAUAUUACCACUGUGGGGAUUAGGAUUUUAACAUGUACAUUUCGGGGGCAUACAUUCAGUCCACAGUAAUGUUUUAUGUUCAUUUUGCUUUAAGAAGAGACACUUUUAGGAUAGUAGACCUGAUCUGAGAAGAUAAAAAACUCAGCAUGGUGAUUUGGGUAGCCUUGCCACGUAUCUUUAACAUGCACACAGCCAGAAAAAUAGUCUGGACAUUCUGUUCAACCCUCUACAUCAGCUGGUCAAUUCAGUCUUUACAAAGUGAUGGGCUGGGUGUAGUGACUCACACCUGUAAUCCUAGCACUUUGGGAGGCCGAGGCAGGUGGAUCGCUUGAGCCCAGGAAUUCAAGACCAGCCUGGGCAACAUGGCGAAACCCCAUCUUUGCUAGGAAUACAAAAUGUUCGUUGGGCGUGGUGGCAUGUACCUGUGGUCCCAGCUACUGGGGAGGCUAAGGUGGAAGGAUCACUUGAGCCGGGGAGGCAGGCUUGCAGUGAGCUGAGAUCGCACCAUAGCACUCCAGCCUGGACCACAGAGAGAGACCCUAUAACCAAAAAAAAACAAAAUAAAACAAACAGUGAGCACACUGGCUUUGCUGCUUUGCCCAAGUAUUUCAUGAAAUUGAUCAUUCAUUCACAAUGCUCAGUGCAGUGACUUUGCCAGAGCACAGGUGAUGGACUUAGGAAGCCACAUAAAGAAGCAUCCACGUCUUCCCUGAGGAUGUGCUUAUGUGUGUUCUGAGCGGUAUCCCCCAACCCCAGGCUAGAAUCGAGUCUCCCUGCUUCUCAAGCUUGCAUGGCACUCAGGUGGGCCACUGGGCUCCACCCCAUUCUUUCCAGUCCCAGGAAGUCUUCGUGCAUGGCCAUCUUUUUUGUGCCGUGUUGGGCUUCUCACUCAUCAGCCCCUCGGCACAGUGCCUCCAGCAUCCCAGGAACUCGGCUAAUGUUUAUUUGGAUGAUGGAAUGAAGCUGUCUUGCUAUAUUUUGACAUUUCUGUCCUUCAAAAUAUUAAUCUCUUUUGCCUAGCACCUUUGCAGGUGCACACUACUUGUCUUUAUAACAAACUGUGAGUCAGAAAGCACUUUUAAUCUUUGUUAUAUUAUCAUUCAUAUGAAUAAUAUUAACGAUUAAUGUUUAUUGAGCCCCUCCUAUGAGCCAGAUAGAGUGUUCAGUGCUUUUCGUGUGUUCUCUAAUUAAAUUUUCACGGCAAGCCUAAGAGGCUGUGACUCUCCACACUCUACCUCCGAGGGAAGCAAGGCUUGGAGGCGAGAAACAACCUGCUGAAGGCCACAGGGCAAAGCGGGGACUCACGUCCUGAUCUCUCUGAUUCCAAAGUCCUUGCUCUCAAACCUCUGUCCCUCUCAAGUGGAAAAGCACAAGGCCGUUCUCACUCUGGAACUUGUACUAUUUUGCUUGGGCUGCUGUAGAAAUACAACAGGUCAGGUGGUUAAUGACGGAAAUGCAGUUUCUCACAGUUCUGGAGGUCGGGAGUCCAAGAUCAAAGUAUCUUGAUCUUGUAGUGACUUUGCCAGAGCACAGGUGAUGGACUUAAGAAGCCACAUAAAGAAGCAUCCACGUCUUCCCUGAGGAUGUGCUUAAUGUGUGUUCUGAGCGGUAUCCCCCAACCCCAGGCUAGAAGUGAGUCUCCCUGCUCCUCAAGUAGGGUUGGUUUCUCCUGUGGCCUUUCUCCCUGGCUUGUAGAUGGCUGCCUUCUCGCUCUGCCUUCACGUGGUCUUCCCUCUGCGUGCGUUUGCAUCCUCAUGGCCUCUUCUCCUAAGGGCACUGGUCACAGUGGAUUAGGGUUCACUGUCAUGCUAUCUCCUUAAAGGCUCUGUCUCCAAAUACAGUCACAUUUGGAGGUACUGAGGGUCUGGGCUUCAACAAAUGAAGUUUGGGGACACAGUACAGCUCAUAAGAGACCUCUUCUCAACAGGAUCCAUGUUUGAUCUGGGGAACAAAGCUAGAAUUGCUUUCCUCCUUGUGAUAUGUAUAAUGACUCAUGAGAGACUCCCUCUCCCUUUUCCCCACCUGAGACCUGAGAGGAAGAGAAGGAAGCUCGGAGGCACUGCCCGGUAGGCUGCAAUGGUCAACAGCCAGACACUCAGACCCGGCUGACAGGGUGUACGUGGACACCUUGGAUGUGCACAGCGUGGAUCUUCUCCGAGUCAGAGAAAGGCACAGCUCCCGGUGUUGGUGCAUGACAAAGACUGUAAGAUACUGAAAUUGUCGGGCAAAGUUUCCUCAGCUCUUUAUUUAAGUGUUAGGCCAGCUAUGGUGGCUCAUGCCUAUAAUUCCAGUGCUUUGGGAGGCUGACGUGGGAGGAUUACUGGUGUUCAGGAGGUUGAAACCAGCCUGGCCAACGUGGCAAAAUCCCAUCUCUACGAAAAUGAAAAUUUAAAAAAAAAUACAAAAAUUAGCUGGGCAUGGUGUGUGCUGGCGUCCCCUGUAGUGUAAGGUACUUGGGAGAUCGAGACAUGAGAAUCGCUUGAACCUGGGAGUGAGCUAAGACUGCACCACUGCACCCAGCCCGGGCAACAGAGCGAGACCCCAUCACACACACACACAAAAGUUUAAUGCAAGCAGAAAAGAGCACACACUCCAGGUGUAUAUCUCAGCAAAUUUUCACACACUGAAGGCACACGGUGACCAGCACCCACAUGUUAUGCACAGGUUAACCACAGGACCCUGCCACUCUCUUCUUGUCCCCUUUGCUGUGAUGCCCCUUCUCAUCUCAAUUUUAUUAUUCCAUUUAUUAAAUAAAGAAGUAAAGGGAGGCAAUGGUGAUACUAAAAAGAACCAAAUGAGCUCGGCGUGAUGGCUCAUGUCUGUAAACCCAGCACGUUGGGAGUCCCAAGUGAGAGGGUCUCUUGAGCCCAGGAGUUGGAGACCAGCCUGGGCAACAUAGUGAGACUCCAUCUCUAUGAAAACAAAACAAACAAACAAAAUGAGGCAUGGGGCGCAUGCCUGUGGUUGCAGCUAUUCAGGAGGCUGAGGCAAGAGAAUCACUUGAGCCAUGAUUGCACCAUGGUACUCCAUCUCGCCUGGGCGAUAGAGUGAAACCCUAUCUUAAAAAAAAUGGUAACAGAACCAUAGGCCUUAUUUUUAUCUGAGUUCCUGUAGACUGAGCUCUUCUCCUGAUUAAGUAACUCAGAAAAUGCAGACUAAUCUUGCACCUCAGCUUCCUCUUCUGCUAAAUGGGGGACCAUAUCUAAUUAAUAAUGAAUUCAAAAACCCAGGACAGUAUCAGGCGCACAGUUGAUCAGGACAGUGGACUUAUUAGCUAACGGUGAGAAGGAUGAAUAAUAAAGAAAUCUAUACCUUUUGCUUUCUGAAAUGGGAAAUCGAAAGAACAGGCCUAACCACGAAGCAGCGGGCUGUUUUAACUGUGCUGUUAGGAGGGCUGUUUAAGAUACUGAAGACGGUUGGCACGUGGCUUUCUGCUAAGAACCUGCUGAUGAUCUAUACAGAAUCCCCAGGCCAUGCCUCCUGUCAAUCAGGGCGCUUAGGUUUCACAUUUUUCCUCCAGGCAGACUCAUGUAGAACAUUCUACAUCACCUGGAAAAAACAUGGUGCUUGGGACAUUCAAAACCCAAGCUUGGUCCCUGGAUGGGAGAAAAUAGCUGCAUCAAUGACAGAGGUGCAUUUGUCGUGUGCCCUAUACAGACUAGACACUUGACAAUGGGCAGGGUGGGACAGUUCCAUGUCCUCUGCUGCCUUAUCUGAUACUCUUGUUCCCUGACAAGUUUGAAAAUUUGGCACUUUUUUUUUUUUUGACAGAGUCUUAAUCUGUCACCUAGGCUGGAGUGCAGUGGCGCAAUCUCAGCUCACUGCAACCUCUGCCUCCCAGGUUCAAGCAAUUCUCAUCCUCCUGAGUAACUGGAGCCACGGGUGCAUACCACCACGCCCAGCUAAUUUUUGUAUUUUUAGUAGAGACAGGUUUUCACCAUGUUGGCCAGGAUGGUCUCGAUCUCCUGACCUUGUGAUCCCACCUGAGCCUCCCAAAGUGCUAGGACUACAGGUGUGAGCCACCGUGCUCAGCCAAAAAUUUGGCACAUUUUAAUAUUUAUCAGUGUACUUAUUGCUUCUUGAUGCGCCUGUACUGCACAAGAAUUGAUUUUCAAGAAAUAGGUUUUUGGGGGUUUUUUUUUUUUUUGAGUUUCUGCACACUGAUGGGUUAGCAAAAUGCAUUAUUUGCGUAGAAAUCUUUAGUGAGCUCUGCUGGCAAGUGUGUCAAAUUUAUAAAUCUCACUACUAUGAAGACAGGCUUUUGGAUGUGGAUUUCCCCCUCGGUUUAUUUCUUCUUUCUUUUUGCAUGUCCAGGUCACUACGCAUUGCAUUUAUUUGGUUGUUUUUGAGCAAUUCAUUUACUCAGAUUGUGUUUCUGGAGAUUAAAGCCUCUCACUGUAUUUUUAUGUUUUUCUACUUUGCAAUUUCAAAAUCGUCCCACUCAAAGGCUGUUGAAAGGCUCCUUCUGUUGAGGGUAGAGCCUGUAACAGCCUUUAACUUCCUUUCUCUUCUCCCGCUGCCACCUUGGUCCACAAUUUAUCUUUGAAGAUGCUGGGUUUUAAUGGGCAGUGUAUGGUGCAGAAACCAGAUGGUUUUAACUCACACCUGUGAAAAUGCUGGAGAUCUGUGAAACAUUAAAGUUAAUGACCAGAAUAAGGCUGCCAAGCUCAGUGGAAUCAUACUUAACUGGCAUCAUUCUGGUUAACUGAACUAUCCAUUAACUCAUGGUUACAUCUGCUCAUGCCCUCUGCUAACCCCCUACUCACCACUCACCCAGUUCCUCCCAGUGGGCAGUUUGCUGCUGCUGUCUUACCUCCUUAACUUCACCCCUUUCAUCUCUCCCCUGGUAACUGAUUUCUUUUUUCAUCUUGGAGUUUCUUGUUCAUUUCUUCUUCCAGUUGCAUCUCUCCCUUUACCCAGACACACUUCCGUUUUACUUGUGUUUGGUCACCUCAGAACUUUGGCUUUUAUUGCCCGAUGUAUUCAAUGAUUCACUCACACCUUUAACCUUGCAUCGUACUAAUCUUUCAGACAACUGGAGGUUUGUCUUUGAAGAUGUCCUUGCCUUUCUUGAUGUUUUAGUGCUCCUGGAUGUCCAAGCUCAUUCUUGUGCUUAUUGAAGGAAGGUUUUGGCCAUCCAGCUGUCAGCUGCUGAAGUUUAACUGUGCAUUCUAACCACAUCUGCAUUUUAUUACAUCGUUCCUGGGCAGCAGGUAAUGUUAGGAAAACCUUGAAAAGAAAUGACCUAUUGGAAGAUAUUUGUUUGAGAUUCUGUCCUUUUUCUCUCCAUGCUUCUCCUGCACCACAUUUGUAAGCUCAUGCUUAAAUAAAUCCUGACCCUACUGUGAUAAAACUUCUUAAAAGUGAACCUUGUGGCUGGGGGCAAUGGCUCAUGCUUGUAAUCCCAGCACUUUGGGAGGCUGAGGUGGGCAGAUCACCUGAGGUCAGGAGUUCGAGACCAGCUUGGCCAACAUGGUAAAACCCUGUCUCUACAAAAAAAUACAAAAUUAGCUGGGCAUGGUGGUAUACACCUGUAAUCCCAGCUACAAGGGAGGCUGAGACACGAGAAUGACUUGAACUCAGGAGGCGGAGAUUGCAGUGAGCUGAGAUCGUGCCACUGUACUCCAGCCUGGGCAAUGAGCAUGAAAGUCCAUCUUUAAAAGAAAUGAAACCUUGUAGUUUCUUCUUCUAUUUGGCAGGUGGACCCUGAGGUGGCCCCAGUGAUACCCCACCUCCUGGUGUCCAAGACCUGAUGUGAUGACUUAUUCUCCCUCCUUGAAUGUAGGUGGGACUUGGGACUGAUUUCUAACCAAUAGAAUAUGAAAAAGAUAAUUGGAUGUAACUUUUUAGGCCGGGGUACACUAUGUGGCAAAGCAAAGGAAUUUUGCAAAUACCGUUAAGGUCUUAAAUCAGACAAUUCCUUAGUUAAUGAGAAGGAGGUCACCCUGGGUUGGCCUGACUUAGUAAGGGGAAGAUCCCUUAAAGAGGAGCUAAAAUAAGAAAGUCUCUCUCUACAUUGCUAGCUUUGAAAAAUUAAGCUACCUUGCAGCAAGGAACUAAAGUUGGCUUCUAGGAGCUGAGAGUGCCCCCGAGAAACCAGCAAGAAAAUGGGGACCUUCAUCCUGUAACAACAAGGAAAUGAGUUUAGCUAGCAACCUAAGGGAGCUUGAAGGUGAUUGACCAUCCCCUGUCAAGCCUCUGAUGAGACCAUAUUGUUACAUCCAGACAACUGGAUUUCAGCCUGUAAAAUCCUGGAUUGAGAACCCAGCUCAGGCAUGCCCAGACUCCUAACCUAUGGAAGCUUUAAGAUAAUAAAUGGGUGUUGUUUUAAGCUGCUAAGCUUUUGGUAAUUUGUUAAAUGGCAACAGAAAAUGAAUACACCCCUUAUAGUAGACAGAGACUGCACCUUUCUUUGACAUUUCACUGCACAGCAAGUUCUUAGUUGCUUAUCAGGUUUCAGAGGAUAGCCAGGAAUUUGAUGAUCUCAUAAGAAACGUGUACUCUUUGGCCAGACACUGUGACUCAUGCCUGUAAUUCAAGCACUUUGGGAGACCAAGGCCAGCAGAUCAGUUGAUAUCAGAAGUUCGAAACCAGCCUGGGCAACAUGGCGAAACCCCAUUUCUACUAAAAAUACAAAAAUUAGCCAGGCAUGUGGUGCGUGCUUGUAAUUACAGCUACUUGAGAGGUUGAACCCAAGAAGCAGGGGUUGCAGUGAGUGCAGUGGCAGCUGGGACAUUAACCAGGCUGUGAAGGGCACCAUGAUGUUCUUACCUGAGUCACGUCACUGCACUUUAGCCUGGGCAACAAUGCAAGACUCCAUCUCAAAAUAAAGAAAUGUGGGCCAGGCGCAGUGGCUCUCGCCUGUAAUCCCAACACUUUUGGAGGCCAAGGCAGCCAGAUCACGAGCUCAGAAGAUGGAGACCAUCCUCACCAAUAUGGUGAAACCCCAUCUCUACUAAAAUACAAAAAGUUAGCCAGGGCUUGUGGCAGGUGCCUGUAGUCCCAGCUACUCAGGAGGCUGAGGCAGGGGAAUCGCUUGAAUACAGGAGGCAGAGGUUGCAGUGAGCCAAGAUUGCACCAUUGAACUCCAGCCUGGGUGUUGGGAACCAGCCCAACCCUGUGCAUGGGCGCCCCGUGUCCUGGCAGUGAUGAGGGAGUGAGAAAAGAAAUAAAGAUAAAGGCACAAGAAUAGAAUUUUACAGCAUGGGUCCCUGGGUGCAAGGCACUCUCUCGGGGUGAUCCCCAUUGGCACUGAGCUCCGGGCCAAGCGCUUUUAUUAGGUGUAUGAUCUUGUUAAUCUUGCAGGCUGUGGGGAGUGGGGUUGAGGAGGAAGAUACGAGGAGGAAGAGCACGUGUCUGCAGCAUUCAAUAGCAAAGGUGGUUCUCAGAAAGACACACUACCUAAGGACACUGAGAUUUUACCACCCAUUGUCUAACCAGGUGCUUUGGCAACAGAGGUGCAGCAGCGCCAUGAGGUCUGACCACACACAAUGCGUCAGGGGCUUUUAUCUCCCGAGCAUUGUGGACACAGAGCAAUCAGAAUUGCUUCAUAUUCUGAGAACAUAGGCAGAGCCUGUGGCCUUUUGGUGUUCUCUGCCCUGCAAGGCCUUCCAGCCUUACCAGAACCAUCUGCAAAGACCCUCCCGAGUCUUAGGAGCAGAGGUUGCAUUUCCAUCCCAGGGUCUUUUGCAUAAGCUCCCUUUAUGAGAUCCUCACAUAAACUCUAUGUUGGGAAGUGUUGUGGGACCAAAGCAGCAGCUUUUCUGCUCUGCAGCCACACCGCAGUGUCCCGCGCGCUCAGACGGUCUUUACCAGAGGCUCUCUGUUACCGCUUGAUCUCUGCUUUUAUUUUACUGCACCAUAGUUUGGAUAUGAUCUGUGGUACAAAUCUCAGUUAUAAAAAGUAAAGCAAGCUUGCAAUCAUUUAACUAUAAGUACCACAGGUCUGCCCCUGGCCACCUCUUCCCACACCUGGGAACAGUGCAAGACUCCGUCUCCAAAAAAAAGGUGUCCUUUUUAAGGAAAGUCCUGUUUUUCAUGAUUUUCCACUGUGAACAAAGAAGAAAAUAAUAUACAGUACUGAGACAUAUGAACAUGAUUUAGACACAUUUCCACCUACACAGUCCACAUAUUGUAUAGCAUCGCAUAUCAUCAGGAGCAGCUCACGUGACCAGAAUGUGGUACAGUCUUUGCUCUAUUGGUCAUAUGGGGACUUGCUGAAGAGAAAUGAGGGGACUUCAAAGUCCAGGUUGCACCAUCCACUUUAUAGGUGAGGAAAGUAAGAACCCACAGCAGCUUGCCCGUAGAAUUCAGCAGAUGCCGUCCUCCUUGAAUCCCAUUGACCUAACAGGUCGUAUGAUUUCCAUUAGUUUGCAGAGCAAACCAAGGGCAAAAGUGAAAUCGGAAUUUUGCUGUUGAAUUUCUGAAACCUUGUUUUAUUUAUUUAUUUUUAAUCUUUUUUUUGGCCUGGCAUCUUCCCCUUUGAAAACUCCCUGGGUGCCCCAGCACUAUAUACUAAAAGACAUGUAUUUCCACCUGGCAGGGGUCUAGAAAGUUUCUCUGCCUCCUAUGCUCACCCAACCCUAAGUAAUUGUCUGGAUGCUCCUUUUAUUGUCACCUCUGAAACAAGGUGAAGAAUCGGACGGUUUGCUUUCGAACGCAUUAACUUCUUUGUCACAUGAAUACUGACUCAUAUCUUAUUUCCCACUUGCAGUAAGAAAACCAUUCAAAUCUUUCCCUCACAGGACAAUAUCUUUAAUAGCUUCUGUGUGUUUCCUAUUUUUGGCUGUUUCUGUAUAAACAGACUAAUCUAAUAGCAUGCUGAACCCAUCUAACUUGGCAGAAAUUCAGAAAAUCACUCAUUUCUAUGGGAAGCUGAGAUGCCAAGAAGGGGAAAAAACCCUCACUUUUAUUGCAGAAAGAUUUUUCUCAAAGUUGCUUUUCAUGAACAUAAUAUGUCUAUCAUUUGGAAUUCUCCAGCACCCUGGCUGGAAAUUAUUUAUUGUGGUACGACGCAGUGGCAAACGAGGAGGUGUUAUUCUCUGUAUGAUUCCUGGCUUGAAUUUGUUUGCCUAAAGGAGCAGGUAUCGUAUGAACACAAUUUUGAAUGCUGGCAUGGUGACGAAAGGUGAUGUUUACCUGGAGUGUGCACACACAAAGCCCUGUUCAUUUUACCUCAAAGGUUAGAAUUUUAUGCCCCACUUCACAGCCUGGAGAAUGUCCCAGCUGACCCCGCGUUCUGCCUCCAUCACUGGAACAAGAGCCUGUCUUUGGGAAGGGGUGUCCUCCCCGGCACUCUGAUUUGUAGCCACUUUCUCGCAUGGUGGGUCCCAAGCUGUCUGAAGUCUUGGCUUCCAUUCCUAAUCUACCAAAACUUUUCUGGAGAACGUCACCCAUCACACUGAAGGAUCCUCUAACAACUCAGCUUCAUGAGGACAGCUGUACUUUACUUCUGCCUUUAGGCUGGGGUCACUGGAGGCCCUGCCCUAGCCCCACUCUUUAGUCUCAGUUCUUCCAUGAGGCUCCCAUGACUGUGACCCUCACCACAGAAGAGGAAUCCCUGGAGCCCCCCCAUCCAAAGCCAGCAUGUUCCAUUUGAAGGUAACUGGAAUCCUGAAUUUCUCCCCCAAAACAACCCUCAACCUGCUUCCAGAAUGCCAUAUGCUUUUCUAUAUGCUAUUCUUUAAUUUCAUUUGGCGUAUGUUUUUAUUUUUUGAAACAGACUUUAUUCAUUAGAACAGUUUUAGAUUUAAGUAUUAAAUUUAAGAUUUAAAGAACAAUUGAGACUAUAGUACCAAGUUCCCAUGUAUGUAACGUCCAGUUUACCUUAUUAUUUUAGCAUCUUAUGUUACUUGGUACAUUUAUUAAGAUUAAAUCAUCGAUAUAUUAGGUUGGUGCAAAAGUGAUAGUAAUUUUUGCCGUUAAAAGCGAUAGUUAAUAAUAAUACCUGGUUGGUGCAAAAGGAAUUGUGGUUUUGCCAUUAAAAGUAAUGUGAUUUUGCUUUUGGAGUUUUUGCUAUUUGCCAAUUACUUUUGCAGUUUUGGUCGUUACUUUUAAUUAAAACAAAAUAAACCAAGUAUGAUAGGAUUAUACUUUUAAUUAAAAGUAAUGCCCGAAACAGCAGUUACUUUUGUACAGACUAAUGUUGUUAAUAACUAAAGUCCAUCGUUUAUACAUAUUGCCUUAGGUUUUUAAAAAAUUUUUACCAAAUGACCUUUUUGUGUUCCAGGAACCUAUCCAGGAUACCACGUUUUAUUUAAUUGUCGGGUCUCCUUAGCAUCUUCUUGGCUGUGAGACUUUCCCAGAAUUGUCUUUGUGAUGACCUUGACAGCUUUGAGGAGUACUGGUUGGGUAUUCCGUUGGAUGCCCCUGUAUUGGGAUUUGUAUGAUGCUUUUCUCAUGAUUCGGACUGGAGUUAAUGAACUUCAGGGUGGAAGACCCCAGAGGUCUGUUUUCAUCACAUCAUAUUGAAUGGUCUACAUUUAUCAUGACUUACCAUUGAUGGUGACAUCGAGUCACCUGGUCAAGGUAGUGGUUAUCAGGUGUCUCUGCUGCACACUUAUUCUGUCCCUUGCUGUGCCCAGCUCACUUGUGGAGUGGGGAUUUAGUGUUCUCGCUCUUUGAGGGUAGAGUAGCUGCAUAAACUACUUGGAAUUCUGCAUGGAAUAUUUAUCUCUUCUCCCCCAUUUACUUAAUAAUUUGUUUAUGUCAAGGCAGACUUGCGGACAGUUACACUUUAUGGUAUAAUCCUAUACUACUUUAUUUCAUUGCUUAAGUUUUUCAGAUGAAACUAUUUAUUUGGCCUUCAAAAGCUGCAGCUGUUGGCUCCUAUGUUCUUGUGAUGUACACCCAUCGUGGUGUGGUGUGUUUUUCCUUUGGUUUCUUUGUUUUCGUUUCUUUUUUGUUUUGUUUUUGUGCCUCCUCUUCCCUCCUCCCCACAAAGGGCAGCAUACUACUAUGAUUUCUGGAAUCUCGGCCAUAUUGCUCCUUUUUUAAAAAUAAAAAUCACACCAGAGCAGUAAGCAGUGUGGGUGAGACCUCUCACUUCACAAUUUACUUUAUAUAAUUUAAGUCCCUGUCAGGCCCACUUUUUUUCCCUGGUGUGUUUGCUAACAUACCUCCCCAGGGGAUAGCCCUCUGAACCUGCUUGGCCACAUAGCCAGGUCUUCAGGUCCCAAAGGGAGGCCAUCACAAAUUACUCAGCAUGGAGAAGACCCAAGUCCUAGUCUUGGCUCAGCCUCACCCUUGGGCAAUUCAGUUUCCCCUGUGUCCUCUCUACACCAUACUUUCUUUAAAGACAAGGGGUUUCCUUUGGCUGGUCUUCAAGGCCCCUUCAAACCUUGACAUUCUGUGAUUCUGUAAGUUGUUGAAUAAUGGCCCAGGAGGCCCACAAGAAGUCACCAAUGAGAUUUCGGGUGUUCCGUUGGAGAUCCUGAGAAAACCGCAGAGAAAAGGAGAAGAAAAACAAGAAAGAGGAAAAACUGGACUUAUAAAUAGGGAGACAAUGAAUAUGGGGCGUGGGCUGGGGAGAGAAGAGUCAUUGACAGGGACAAGAAAUAAAUAACCUUGAUGCUAAUCCUGGGAAAAUUCUGGAACAACACAGAGGCACCUCUGUUAACUCUAUUUCAUUUUGAAAAGUCUGCGAGACAAAAGGUGCAACGUAGAGUAUGCAGUGAUUUCAGGUGCAUUGGGGUCUAACAAGAUAAUGCUGACUUAGACGACAUUAGUCAACGUCGAAUGUGCAGAUCAAGAGAGGCAGGAGUCCCGUGGAUUUGGCACUGUCCAGAACAUGCCUGCAAUCUUGUUUUUUGCCUUGAGUGUCAUGUGUUGAGAGCUCUGUUGACAAACUGGCAUGUGUCCUUGGGAGAGCAGCCUCAGGACCAGGGGAUGAAGAGACACAGGAAGUGUCAGACUUCGUAAGGAUUUUCGAAGGUCAGUAGAUGGUGGCUCUACAGUGGAAUCCCACCAAGGAUCUGUUUACCUUGUUGGAGAUGGAAAAGCAAAGGCUGGAUGCUUGGUAUUGUCAUGACUGCUAUCUAAGGGAUGCUACCUUGAGUGGAGGGUUUGGCCGACUGAGGAGUAAGGCCUGUCUCUCAUGUCACAUUCAGUGGUGCUAAUGUUUCCUGAAGUUUCCCUUUCAUUUCAGUCCAGUGUUUCAGAAUCUCAGCCCCCAGCAGAAUCCUCUUUGUUUGCUUUAAACAUACAUUCCCAGGCCCUGUGUGGCCAUGCUGAUACACGAGGUCUGGGGCUGGCGGGCUAUGGGUGCUGAUAAUCUGUAUUUCUAUCAAGCUCCCAAGGUGUCCUGAUACAUGCUUGGAGCCGAGAAUUACCCUCCUAACAGGCUUGCCAGCUCCUUAAGAAUAAGAACAUAUUUUCUUCCUUUUUUUGUAUGCCUCCCCAUACAAGGAUAAUUACACAGAAUAAGCACUGAGAUGCCUGUUGAUGGAUUUAUUCCAGCAAAUUUUUUUUUAGCUCUCUUUGUCUGGAACUUUGCAAAAUAAACACCGUGGUCGCCCCAUGCUUUGUAAGUGGCAUGGUAGAAUGGAAUUUCACUGUUUCAAAUUGGGGGUUAAUUUCUUGCUUUCCAAUGAAUUAUGAAAGGAAGAGGAGAGACCUUUGGAAGAGUCUGAAUGUUGAUGCUGACGACUAGCCAGGCGCUUCCCUUCCAGCUGGUUUUGUGAGGGAUUAAGAGGCCGCUGUUGUGAAUCUCCCAUUUGUGAUGGUCCCAGGCCCCCUCCUCAUUUGUGCGUUUAUCUUGCAAGGGACAUAUUUAGGAGAUGUUUCCAUUCUAUUUUAUCUGCAGAAUUACUUUCCAUUCCGAGGUCUUUUAUAUAAGUAUUUCCUUGAACCCGUUCCAAAAAGUGGAUUUUUAACCCAAUAGACCAUAACUGCAGUGUUUUAUCGUGCAUACAUAUUUCAAAAUGUGAAUGUAAGUAGAUUUAGCAAAGUUAAAAUAAAAUUAAAACUUUUCAAAGGGCAGCACCGCUCGCUUUCCCAUGUUGGAGUUUUCCCUUUGGGGUUCUGAUGCCAUUUAAAAGACUCUAAAAACAGGAAGACUUUUUCUCUUGGGUAUUGCUUUUUUUUUUCCUCCACAAGGGAUGGGGUUCAGAAGACAUUGGUGAGGUUAGGCCUUCCUUUAUGUCCCAGGAGUACACUUGAUAGCAAUGUAGGAUGAAUUCCAAAUCUGUGAGUUAGUGCCUUAUAUAGCAGUGUUGUCGGUAAGAUUUCUCACUGGCAUCUCUGCUUCCCCUCUCGGCUCUCUUGAAAUCCCUUCUUCAGGUGGAAGCUGCAGUCAUUUCUCUAAAAUAGAGAUCUUACCCUGCCACCACCCUACUUACCACUCCCUGUUUAUUCCCUUCCGUGGCUCACCAUGUCCCUUAGGAUAAAAUACUAAAAUCCUUUCCAGGCCCUGUAAGACCCCUGCCAACCUCUACAACUUACUUUAUACCACUUUCCCCAGGAACCUGCCACCCACCCGCUUCUUGCCACAGGACCUUUGCAUAGGCUCCUGUCUCUGGCUAAUCUUCCCAACCUGCUUUAGCUAAUCAAGGCUUUCUCAUCAUUAAGGGUUUGAAUGCAUCAUCACUUUCUCUGACGUGCAGGGGUCUUUUAGAUAAGUAUUCCCUUGAACUCACUCCAAAAAUGUGCAUUAUUAGAAAUAGAAGAAAAAUUAGAAAUAGAAAAUUAACUGAGUUCUAGUUUUUAGAAAAUUAUCUAAGAAGUAGAUUUUCAGAAACAGAAAAUUAAUUAGAACACAGAAAAUAAUCCAAACUUAAUUUCCCUUUGCCAGCACCUAAAUGGAUCUUCCUCGCUUCUCUGCCCUGCCUUCUUUUUUUGCCUUAGCACUUAUUAUGUCUUACUCAUAUAGACUCUCAACUCCACAAGGGCAGGGAUUUUAGUCUAUUUCACUGAAAAUCUAUCACCAGUCACUGUCCCAUAGAGAGUCCUCAAAAAUAAUUGUUGAAUGAAUGAAUGAUCAUAGUGUGAUGAUUGCUUCUUCCUCACCUGGCUGUAAGUUUCCCAAGGCCAGGCACCAGUGUCCCAUUUUGCUCAUUGUUGCUGUGUGGGAAAGAGUACAGAAGCCUGUUGAAAGCUGGGCUCUUGACUCCAUCUGGGAAGUCAGAUUUUAGGAGGGCUAUCACCAUUUCCAGAUCAGAUAACAGCGGCUCACUGUGUCUAGACUGCUUGUACCAAAAAUAUGGCUCAUGUGGAAUACCUGCUAUCCUUUGUGGAGGCUGGAAUUUUGGUACAUGCCAGGGUGGUCCAUGACCUCCUUCCAAUAAAAACCCUGGACACUGAGUCCCUAAUACGUUUACCUGGUAGACAGUGCUUCAUAGAUGUUUUCACAGCUCAUUACUGGGGAGAAAUUAAAUUGUGUCCUGUGUGACUGUACUGGAGGAGGACAGUUGGAUUGUUAUACCUGGUUUUCCCCAGAAUUUGCCUCAUUUAUCAUUUUUCUGUGCUCAUUUUGCUUAGCGUCUUUUUGCUGCGAUAAAUCUCAGCUGAGUGUGACUGUAUGCUGAGUCCUGUGAGUCCUCCUUGCAAACCACCCAACCUGGGUUGGCGUUUCAGUGCCCAACACAAUUGAGGUCUAGUCCCAACUAUGUCAAGAAAAUAGCCAACAGAUAAUGCCUGAAUGAAUUAAAGAAGCCGUAGGCGGUCAGCCCCCCCCCCCCCCACCCCAGCUUUGUGGGUUCUGCAUCGUGCAUGUAACCAAUGACAGAUUAAAACCAUUCAAACAAACAAACAGAGGGUGGUUUCUGCAAUGAAUGUGUGCAGACUGCUUUUUUUUUGGUCAUUACUCCUUAAACAAUCCACCAUAAUCACUAUUUAUAUUGCAUUUAUAUUGUACUAGAUUUUAUAAGUAAUCUAGAGAUUAUUUAAAGUAUACGGGAGGAGUGCACACAUUAUAUGCAAAUACUAUACCAUUUUCUGUCAGGAACUUGAGCAUUUGUAGAUUUCGGUAUUCAUGGGGGCUCCUCAAACCAAUCGCCGGUGGAUGCUGAGGGACAGCUGUACAAAUCACAUUUAGGAGUGGAUGCAGGUCAGUUCUGCCAUCUCAUGCACCCCUUCCUCACCCAGGAUUCUCCAUGACUUGUUUCAAGGCCUCACCACAUCAGACUCUUUCUACUCAUAGUUGCUGAGAUAGAGCUGGGCAGAUCGAGCAGCCACACCCUAAACAACUCAAACUGUCACUCGUCAGGAUAUUCCAAGUACGGCAAACUGCAGAAAAAUUAGGACAGAUGUAAGACUUGCUUCAUAGAAAGCUAAAUCAAUUUUAGUUGUGUGAUUGUCCUUUAUUCUGAGAUUAUGUUCAACAGACAUUUUCAGUGUUAAACUAUUCUUUUUUUUUUUGAGACAGGGUCUCGCUCUGUCACGCAGGCUGUAGCACAGUGGUGCGAUUUUGGCCCACUACAGCUUCCUUCUCCCAGGCUACAGGUGUGGCUACAGGUGUGUAACAUCACGGCUGGCUGUGUGUGUGUGUGUGUGUGUGUGUGUGUGUGUGUGUAGACAAAGUUCCACCUUGUUGUCAAGGCUCGUGUCUAACUCCUGGGCUGAAGAAAUCCACCCACCUCGGCCUCCCAAAGUAUUGGGAUUAUAGGUGUAAGCCACCACACCCAGCCAAAAUAUUCUUUCCAUAGUGAUUAGAAGUAGGAGAAGCUUGUUUCCUUUUUAUUGGCACUGCUGUCUUUCAUGCACUUUUGGAUUUUAAAAUAUUCUAUCUUUUGUGAAAUGACAGUGAUUGGAGAUGAUAGAUGUUUUCUUAAGUCAUCUUACUUGGAAAAAGAAAACAAAAGUUGACAACCUGAUUUCAGAUAUUUCAGAUUUUCUAGGAAAAAAAAAAAAGAUUUCUGGGUCCAUAAAAUCCAGAAACUGAAGAGCAAACCAGCAAGUUAGCAAGUAGUUGCUUGGUAGGUAAACGCUUAAGAUCAAGAGCUGGAAAUAUCUGGGUUGAAUUCCCUUCUCUCGUAUGAAGUGACUAGUUGCAAAAUGACCCCAUCUUUCUGAGCUGUGCUUUUAUCUCUGUACGAUGGCGUUAAUACUAGUAUUUGCUUCCUGGGAAUGUUUUGGAGGGGAGUGAGGAAUAAAUGGUAUAAUUUACUAAAGCACGUAGCAUUUGACGCGGAAGAGGGCCGCAUGCUCAGAGUAUUAGAAUCACUACUGAGUUAUUCCGCUACCUUUGUAUUUGAGUCCUUUCUUUGGGACUGUCCUACUUAUGUUGCAGAUGUUAUUUUUUUGAAGAGGCAGUAGGCCAGGAAAGGGGUGGGGUAAAUGAGGAAGGUGCUGAUAUCACCCCUCAGUGUCCUCCUCGUACCACACAUCCUCUCUUUUCUCAGUUGGUCACAUUUUAACCUGAUCACGUCUACACCCCUGCCAAGUAUAAAAGAAAGGGGAGGUUCACGUUGGGGAGGAAUCCGCAUUUUACAGAUGAAGAAGUCAACGUGGUUGGGCACAGUGGCUCACACCUGUAAUCCCAGCACUUUGGGAGGCCGAGGUGGGCGGAUCACUUGAGGUCAGGAGUUUGAGAGCAGCCUGGCCAACAUGGUGAAACCCUAUCUCUACUACAAAUACCAAAUUACCCUGGCAUGGUGGCGUGUGCCUGUAAUCCCAGUUACUUGGGAGGCUGAGGCAGGAGAAUUGCUUGAGCCCGGGAGGCAGAGGUUGCAGUGAGCGGAGAUCGUGCCAUGCACUUUAGCCUGGGCAACAGAGCAAGACUCCAUCUCCAAAAUAAUAAUUUGGAGAGCACAAGUGCCUUACAUGGGCUUGUCCAGCUAGGCAAGGACAGGGCAGUCAUUUGAACCUAGGAGCUCUUGGACUGUAAAGGUUUCAUUCGCUCCUCCCUCUCCACCCUUCCUGUCUUCAAGCCUGAGCAGGUGACGCUGCAUUUUGUACCGUAUGACUUUAAAACAGAACCACGAGUUCAGAACUUUGGUUAGGUCAUGUGUUCUCUGGAAAACGCGCAGCAACACUGGUUUCCAACCUUUCAUUGUGCGGGUUUCUGACGAGUGCGCUGGUAGGCCUCUGGCUGCAGAGAUGCCACUACAAAGGUCUCCUCCUUUUCAUAAACAGAUCGCUGCAAGGCCCGCUUCUCAAGAAAGCCACUUGUGCUACCCCCUGUGUGCUUUUCUGCUUCGCUGUGAAGUGCAAAGUUGGGCUGGCAGGCCUGGCUUUCUUCUCUGCUUUAUGUAUGAUUCAUCAAGAGAACUCCAGGCUAUGGUGUGCGGGGCAACCGGGGCUCUUUUCCUGAGUGCAACAAACAGGGGCUGGGACCGGUUUUCCUUCCAACCCACAUGUAGGUCACCUACGUGAGCAGGGCAGGAACCAUCUGAGGUUUUUUGUUUGUUGUUGUUUUUUAGGUUUCUCAUUGCUGAGAACAAUCCCAGCCCUGUUGACCAAAGAACUGAGUGUCCUUUUAUCAGUCUGACCCUCUAGAGAACCCAAAGAGGCAACCCUUGGGCCAACCGACAGUCAGCUGUGGGGUUGGACCCUGUUUUUCAACACACCAGGGAGCACUCUUAAACCCAGAGAAGGUGCAGGUUGGAGAUGCAGAUGUAUGCCUCUGUACCAGAGACCUUUAUGUACAGUUGGCCUAAGAAUUUUUACCAUUAGAGAUUCACUUCUUUCUGUCUUUGAAAAGUUUAAAAUGCAAAUGUCCAGGAGAAAGGGAUGCCGUAAAUAGUGGUCAGCUAAGAGCGGGCAGUUAGUUUAGUGCGUGACAGGCAUCUCAUUACAAAUGGAUGCUGAAACGCCCAGGUGUGGAAAUGAUAUGCAUCUGCUUUUAUUUUAAAGUCAUUCUUUAAUAUCUCUUUCACUUAUUCCCUGAUUUUUGCACCAAAAAUGCUGUUUGAUUGCGAAAGCAAGUGGGGGUGUUUAAAGUUCUAGGGACUUAAAACCAAUGGAUCCUGCCCAUAAACUUCAUCUGGAGAGAGAGAGAGAAAGAAAAAGAGAGAGAGAGAGAGAGAGAGAGAGAGAGAGAGUGUGUGUGUGUGAGUGUGAGUGUGUGUGUGAGUGUGAGUGUGAGUGUGUGUGUGUGUGUGAGUGUGUGUGUGUGUGUGUGUGUGUGUGUAGGUGGGCUUAGAAAAGUGCUGACUUUGUGAACAAGGAGGAGGAAAAAGGGCCCAGAGCAGGAAGGAGCCUGUAAAUAAAUUCAUCCCAGCCUCAGCCCAUGCCUUCACUUGAGAUUCCUCAUUUACAGAUUCCUCAUAUAGAGCUCUCCAUUUUAAAUAUGCAAAAUAUACAUUCUCCACCUUAAAUACACAAAAUAUUGAUCGACCAUUAUUAAUACCCAUUUUUAGAAUAAAGCUACAUUCCCAUUCUCUCUCCCUCUUUUUCUUCCUCUCCUUCACUCCUUUUUUUUCUUUCCUUCAGAAAAAAAAAAAGAGAUUCUUCAUCCAACCCCAACAGCCUCCUCGCAGUACAUAUCCCUCCACCCACCCCUUGCAGAUAGGAAACCUUGCCCACCAGGAAGUCAGAUUUCAAAUCUAAAAGUGCCUAAUGCCAAAACUGUAUCUCUUUCUACUCAACAUCUGCAGUCAAACGCUGCCUGACUCAGGAUUUGCCGGGGUCUGGCUCUGGGCUAUUAGAAUUAGAUGCAUGAGACCCUUUCAAUUUAAACCUUAAGUAUUUCGCCUGCUGGACAGAUGCCUGGUUGUCCCUUUAAUCUAUUGCCCAAAAAGCCUGAGGAAGGAUGGCAGGUGGACCUGGAUCUCGGCCACCGCCUUAGAUCCUGACUGGGGGACCUGGGCGACUGCGCCCCUGGGAGGAACUACAGGAGCUCUCAUGUGUUGUCCUUGACUGGACAAGAAGGGAAGGAGAAGUGUGAAACCUGCAGAAUUACACAUCAUGCACCUGGGUUCGUAUCCUGGCUGAACCACUUACUUUCUGGGGACCUCAGUCAAGUGGCUCUUCCUCUCUAAGCCUCAGUUUCUUCAUCUACGAAAUGAAAAUGUCAGUAGUUUCUUUCUUCAAGGGUUGUUGAGAAGGUCAGAUGCUAAAAGUGCUUGAACAGCACUCACGCAGGCACUAACACAGUAAGUGCUUAGUACUUAGCGCUGUCAACGUCAUCUACAUCCACAUCAGUGUCAUUGGCGUCCUCAUGAAAAGCACCGAACAUCAGUUUGCCCUUGGGCUGGAUGUCCAUGUCGGAAAAACAGCUAGUGGAAGGCAUGCCCACAUCUCAGAAGUUGGCCUUUCCAUGCAGACAUCCGUGGUAGCCACUGUAGGGGAUAAAGAUGCUUUGGAAACCAGGACAUAGAGAAAAGUGCCUCGUAUAAUACAGAGCCAAGAGAGGUCACUGUGGAAGUACAGAGGAAGCCUUGGCCUAAUUGCAUGGAUAAUACAAUUCGUAACUCAUCCUGCCAACGCAAAGGUAGAUGGACGAUCCCUCUCCUUGCCGCGGAACAUUGCCCGUGUUUUCCUAGGAGAGACAUCUGCACUCUAGUAGUGAUUAAAAUGCCUUGGACAGGCUCUUGCUAUUAAGAGUUUCUGGCUCCAGUUUAAUAAAAGGUAGUAUAUUAUAAUGGAAACCAGGUUAUUAUUGAUAUGGACUAGACACGUUAUAGACCAGGUCGAAGCUCUGAUAAUGCAAAAUGCAAGGGGAGGGAGCUAAGGGUUAUUGCAAACCUACUAUGUGUCAAUUGCUAUACUAGACACCUCAGAGACAUCACAGUCAAAGAAUAAACCAAGUCCCCUACCUUUGAAUCGAGUCUGGUCUCUCUGAUAUAUUAAUAUAUUUAAUCAUCAGACUUUCAGUGUUAAGAUUACAGUAGAGGCAUCCAGUUGUUUGGGGAAUAGUUGCUGCGAAUGAUAAGCUCUUUUGAAUAAACUGAUACUGACUUAAUGAGGUUCUGCUGUGGAUUAUCUUUUUUUCCUCGUAGAAAAUAGAGUGGCGGCUCUCCCCACCCGCCAUUCUCAGUGCUUUUGCUUACUGCUAAUGACCCUCUUUUCUCUCACUCCGUGGGAACUUUUAAAAUUUAUAAUUAAUGGUUUUUUUAGCCUCAAGUUUCUGGAAUUGUAAGAGGGCCUGAAAGGUAAGUGCUCACUUACAAAAACAGGCGACUUAGCUCAGCAAGUGAGAAUGGAGAGGCGUUUCCCACCUGUUCUGCAGUCGUGUGUUUGUUUCUGGAGGGAAUCAAGAGGCAUUCAACCGCCUGUUAAUUGGUUGUUCCUUCAGACACCUUCUUCAUGGUGCAGCCCUGAGCCGGAUCAUUUAGAGACCAGUUGUUAAGGACCCAUCAGAGGGCCUGUGCAUUGGUUAAGACUCCUUGUCUGGCGGUAGAGACUGGUGUGGUUUGGAUGCGUUCCCCUUGUCUGCCCAGUACCCAGCAGAGGCAGGUGUGCAUUUGAGACAGGUCUGAGGGUUCAGGCUGUCCAGUCCCUGCUCAUCUGCACCACACCAAGGAAUGUGGACUAAUGAAAAAUAAAUGGCACGCGUGAAAUGCCCAUCAUAUCAUCUGCGUUUUCUAACCCUCACAAUAACUCUAUGUGAGAUGGGAAAUGUUCCUGCCCGUAAUCUCAGCACUUUGGGAGGCUGAAGCGGGCAAAUCACCUGAGGCUAGCAGUUCGAGACCAGCCUGGCCAACAUGGUGGAACCCACUCUCCCACCCCUCCCCAUCUGUACUAAAAAUACAAAAAUUAGCUGGGUUUGAUGGUGGGUGCUUGUAAUCCCAGCUACUUGGGACACUGAAGCAGGAGAAUCUCUUGAACCCAGGAGGCAGAGGUUGCAGUGAGCUGAGACCAUGCCACUGCAUUCCAGCUUCGGCAACAACAGCAAAAAAGAAGAAACGUUCCUGCCCCCACAUUACAGAUGAGGCUAUUAAAGGUACUCAGCCACUGGUCCACAGUUAUAGUACUCAUCAGCGAUCCACCUGACUUUGGAAAUUCGAUUUCUUUGGAACUUUCUACUACAUCCCAUUUCCUUACUCCCUGAUCAUUCCCAGAUCAUGAAAGGUAGAAGGAGGAAGGGCUGGAGACAUUGUUUUGCUGUAUGUCUCUUGAUAAAGGGCUCAGAGCUAAGUACAUAGUGGGUGCUCAAGCCCUUCUGCGUGAAAGGAAAUUUCAGCACCUUUGGCGGCAGCUCACAGUGUCAAAAUGGAGCAAUGUGUAGGGACCUGGGUCCUGGGCAGCAUCGUCCCGGCCCAGGACCUGCUGUGUUGUGUGUGUCUCCAUCUUGCAGCCUUUAGGAACAUAGAAGGGACCUCUGUAGCUGGUAUCAGCAUCUGUGAGCAUGCGGGACUUUGCUUCCUUGUAGGGUCCUUACUUCCUCUGAGUGGCAGGGAGGGGUCUCUAUACCUUUUUCCACCAGGUAGACCCAGAAUCACUUUCAGCUUGCUCACCUGGCUGUGCAGUGUUUUAGUUCUUCCCUGGGAAGCUUGCUUAAAUAAUCCACUUCUCUCAGCAUUCCCUGUACCUCUUUUCCCUACUCUAAGCUAAGCUCUUCUCUUAGUUAUUCUAAAAACUGCCCAGUGCCAGGCACUAACUUCACCACUGUUUCCCAUGACAAUUAGUUUACAUCACAGUUUUAAAAACAGGAAGAAGGCCAGACGUGAUAACUUUGGGAGGGCGAGGCCGGUGGAUCACGAUUGUCAGGAGUUCGAGAUCGGCCUGGCAGACAUCGUGAAAACCCAGCUAUACUUAAAAAGAUGUAUAAAGAAUUAGUCAGGUGUGGUGGUGGGUGCCUGUAAUCCCAGUUACUUGGGAGGCUGAGGCAAGAGAAAUGCUUGAACCCAGGAGUUGGAGAUUGCAGCGAGCCAAGAUCCCACCACUGCACUCCAGUAUGGGAGACAGAACAGGACUCCGUCUCAAAAAAAAGAUAAAAAACAAAACAGGAACACACAAUUUCUAUUCCCAUUUUGCAGACAAGCCAACCAAGGCUUGGAGUGGUUGAAUGACUAUUCUAAUUUUCCUAAGUGGCCAGAGGCGGAGUCAGGAUCUGAACCCAAAAGGUAGUCUCAGUAGUCGGUGUUUCUUCUUUCAACCUUUCCAUUCAGCUCUUUUCAUCCCCUGUCCUUUGCCCCUCCUGCUAGUUUGUCAUUUCUCCCCCUUCCACCUUCCAUCACCAUUUAUGUUGUUCGUUUCCUCUGCAAGCAGCAUCUGAAAGGCCCAGACCCAGCCUGCUGGCCUUGGGCUCUGAUAAGAUCUGUCUGUGCUCCUUUUGUCUGGCCUAUACCUGCCUUUUCUGAAUGACCCUGUUAAUUGCAAUUGACUCUCAUAGAAUGUGGAUAGCAGUGCCACUUGACACCAGACUAAUGCUUCUGACUUUUCCGUGGUGCCCCAGCAGCAGGCUGGAGGGAAUAGCGGGACGGUCAGAGGAGAGAUAGAGCACUUCAGAUUCCAAUCAAAUAGAGCAGUAGAGUUUUUCUCUUUGUCAAGGCGCUCUCUCUGUCCCUGCGCGUCCCACCCCAGGCUGGGCGGAGAUGUGGCAGUUCUAGGAAUUCACAGUAAAAUCAGAAAUAAUGAGGAGAUUUCACAGUUGUGGCUCCUGUGAAGAUUCAGGAAUUUUUUUUUUCCUUCUAUUUCCAAGCUUUAGUCCUAUGCUUGGACAAAGAACUUUGAAGAAAACCUGAGAGAUAUGAGUCUAAAACAAGGGAAAUUUUCUCUGGGGAGCUGGUAGGUGGGGCUUAAUUUCCUAAAGGUUCACUGGGUAGCAGGGCUGCGUUCCUUUAUAAUGUUACCAGUCCUGUGGAGGAGAAACUGAAACCCUCCAGAGGUAGAAAAGCUGGGGCCGAAAGACCAGCCCGCUGUCCAAUGCUUGGACAUUUUUGUUCUUUUUGGGCAGGGGGAGGAACUUGAACCCAAGAGUCUAUUCAGUUUGGAAGACUCAACUCCCAAGAUGUAAAAGUUACUAAUGCCUGUGCCCAAGCAUCGAUGACACAUGCAGGGGAGUAACUCAAGCUGGGUCAGUCCUUACUCAGAGACAGGUAUGUGGGCUCCAACUUUGCCAUACACUGCUUCGUGGGAACCUCACAACAGACUGAUGGGCUCAGAAUGCUUCUCUCACUUUGCAGAUGAGCAAAGGGAAGUGCACAGAUGGAAAAAGUGUUGGACAUCCUGCAGCGUGUUCAUGAAUGAACUGAGAGAAAGCCCAGAGUUGCCUCUGGAGAACCUGGUGGUGGGCGGGUUGGGGAGAGAGGCCCCCUCACACUCCAGGGGCACAGAUUGGUUUUUGUUUUUCCCAGAUGGAGUUUCACUCUUGUUUCCCAGGGUGGGGUGCAAUGGUUCGAUCUUGGCUCACUGCACCCUCUGUCUCCUUGGUUCAAGUGAUUCUCCUGCCUCAGCCUCCCAAGUAGCUGAGAUUACAGGUGCCCAUCACCACACCCAGCUAGUUUUUUGUAUUUUUAGUAUAGAUAGCAUUUCACCAUGUUGGCCAGGGUGAUCUCGAGCUCCUGAGCUCAGGUGGAUCCACUUACCUCAUUCUCCCAAAGGGCUGGGAUGACAGGCGUGAGCUAUCACACUAGGCCCAGAUUGGCAUCUGUGUGAGGAUGAGGACUUCUGGGAAGACAGAGUGGUGAUCUAAUGUCACCUGUGGAAGGAGUAGGAGGCAGGUGUUUGGGUGUCACAGUUGGUUUCCUUCUUAAAUCCCACAUAGUGCUGGGUCAGUUUCACAGCCUCUGACCACCCAGAUGGGAAAGUGACACAGCACCGCCGGGCAGACUCAUUUUCAUUGAGAUGAGGGGUUCAAAGUAGAGACACAAAGCCUUCAGUAUUGAGAAGAAAUGGAUCUUCAGGACUGUAGGGAAGCCAAUAGAGUCUCUGACGUUGCCAGUGUCUACUCCUUGGGUCAUACGUGUGUGCUUUUUUGUGACUGGUGAUUUUCAGCAUAAUGAAUGGAUACUGUUGAAGGAAUAUUUUACUUCGAAAUUCAGAUCUCUGACUUUCUUUGAAUGUUUGGAGUGCCAUUCAUGUUGGUUGCUCUGGGAUAGAAUCCUGGUGUUCAGAAUUGGCAAGAAGGACACAGGGGCAAGGUACAGCCUUAUUCUCUACAUGCUGCACCUCACCGGCUCCUACCAUUUGUGUGACGUGAUUCCCGUAGUGCAAUGAAGCAGGAGUUUGCAGCAGAAAGAACCACUAAUGCUUGAUACCUAAGUGGUGGCUUGAUCGGUGCAGCAGACUACCAUGGCACAUGUCUACCUGUGCAGCAAACCUGCACAUCCUGCACAUUCUACCCUGGAACUUAAAAGUUGGGGAGAGGAAGAAGGAAAGAAAAGCGGGACCAGGUGCUCUGACUCACGUCAGUAAUCCUAGCACUUUGGGAGGCCAAGGCGGGGAGACUGCCUGAGCUCAGGAAUUCAAGACCAGCUUGGGCAACACAUUGUAUCCCAGUCUCUGCUAAAAUACAAAAAAUUAGCCAGGUAUGGCGGCAUGCUGCCUGUAGUCCCAACUACUCAGGAGGCUGAGGCAGGAGAAUUGCUUGAACCCAGGAGGCAGAGGGUGCAGUGAGCAAAGAUCGCAGCAAUCCAUUCCAGCCUGAGUGACAGAACAAGACUCCAUCUCCAAAAAAAAAAAGAAAGAAAGGAUGGAAAAGGGAAGGGAAGCGAAAGGAACCAGCUGUGAAAUUUGUCUUAGCUGAGGGUUACUCUAACACAACAGCUGAAGCUGAAGAGAAGGGGCUUUGGGCGAGAGGCAGCCUGUGGUUGUGAACAGGUGCCGCCUCCAAAAAAAUUCUCUUCCUUGGAUUUCAGAAUGACCUCCAUCGAGAACAAAGCCUUUCACGCUGUGUUUAUUUUUUUCAGGUCUAAGUUUCCCCCAGGAGAUUUUUUUUUUUUUCUAAAAAAAAAAGACAGAGAAACCCCCAAACCGGAGCCACAAUCGAAUGCAAAUAUGACAAUGGGACCCAUCGGUGGAGAGAAAAAGGCUCCUUUUUAAUUAGAAGCCUGGAAGGACAUACCCUUUAAUUGCUGCACUUGUAGUGUCAGAGCUAUCAAUAUCCGUGGCUCUUUCAUUAAUAAACUGGCAAGUCAGAAAGCAGCAGGAGGGGGGGGGAACCCCUCCUCACCCAAUCCCCUCUCCCACCCCAAGCUCUAUUUAAUCAACUGCAGACUCAAUCAAAUGGGGAAAAGAACAUGUAAAUCAGCCACAUUCAUUCUGCCAGCCCUAAAAAGGUAGAAGGAAGGGAAACGGGAAAGGGAGCCUUCAUCUGUUUCCCUCCAGUUGCCCAGCUCCUGGUCAACCCAAGCAAGAGGUAGUUAAACGGCCCUGCAGAUUGCGAGCGACUCCGGGAAUGCCUAGGUUUAUGUAUGGAUUAACACGGUGAUAGACCCUGAGUAGCAAAAGACGAAGACUAAUUACCUGACAGAGCUCCCCUCCACUCGCCUGGGUCAUUGAAAUUAAUUUCUGCUUUCAAGCUUGGCAGAAAGCAGCUGCAGAAUUUCAGUUCAAUACUCAAAUUAACAGGGAGCCGAAAUUAUUUCUCUGCACAGGCGGUUUUAGAGGAGUGGGUUACCAAAUAGAUCUUGAUCGCAGACAGGGAAAAAAGGAUUAUUCCUCCCUUUUCAUCAAGAGCCGUAAGUCCUUGGAAAGCGUAAAAGGGGGAAUAAAACAGAAAAACAACAACCAAUUUAUUGGAGAAUUAACAGUGAAAUACUCUACCAAAUUGAGUUUGACGUGCCUGGGUAGGACACCGUCCCCCAAAUAAUUGACGAUUUCUCUCCAUUUAACAAAAAAAUUAAAUAUAUGGCACUUAAAUAUAUACUUGAAUUGGAAUUCCCAAUUGAGAGGUAGUUUGUGAAUAUCUAGUCUAUAAAAUCUCAUGCUGUCAAGAAGGUGUUGACUUAUUUCAAGGUUAAGGAAAUGGGUAGGGAAUAUAGGGAGGAAGGUGGGAGAUGAAGGAUCAGACUACGAGUCAAAGUUGGGAUUUGAACCCAGUGCUUCUGUCUCUAGAUUCAUGGUUCCUUUAUGCUGACUUUGCUUUUUUGCUCAAAGUCUCUCUCCUUGCUCCCUCCUCUUUGGGCUCCCUGCUUUUGUUGCAGCCUUGAUGGAAUCCUUCAGCUUUACUGAGCUUCAUAUAUGUGCACCAGCUCAAAUUCAAGGCUGGCCAGACCUGCAGUCCUCACUUCAUUUGCUUCUGUGAUUUUCCCACCACCAGGAGCCACUGAUGGAUGAGAUUUCCAGGCAAGCUAGGUCCCCAUGUUCUUGCCAUGGGCUGCUGCCAGGGGAGACAGGGAUGAAGGCUAUCUUUCGUGUUUCCCUUCCUUCUCCCUAUUUAGGGCUGGCAGAAUGAACACAGGUGUCCCUGGCAGUUUCUAUCUGGACCACUGUGGCAUUUCUUCUGCUUCUGCUGAGGCUGUGCGGGUCCACAUCAGGAUACCUCAGUGUGGAAUCCUGGGCGAGGCACACGCGUACCAGAUGCAGGAAAAACAUGUUUUCUAACUCUGUCCAGCCCUUUAGGAUUGGGAAAUACUUUAAUUGUCAACCACAUUCUGGAAUCCUGUCAAACUAUGGCACUCAUCGUACUAGGGGUAGAACCCUGGGAUGAUGGCUUAUCAUAGUAAUGGGACCUGCUUCCCGGUGAUUCUGUAAGGAUUAAAUCAGUUAACGGAGAUGAAAUACUUAAACUGUGCCUGGCAUAAAGUAAAUGUUAGUGCUACUGUUAUCCCUGCUGCUGUUAACCCCAACUAGAUAAGCCAAGAUAAGAUCCUCUCCAUUGUUUACCUGAAAAGGCAGAAAAGCUCUGUGCUGCUAUCCAGACCCAAGAGGAUCCGACAGCUCUGGAAUUUGUAAUGUUUGUGACACCUCUUGCCCUCUUAAUGCCUCAUAAGUCAAAAGAAGACACAGAUGCCUAGAAAACACAAAUAAUUAUCAUUUAUCAAAUAUUUACCAUGUGCCAAGUAUACUCAUAUUGAGCUAAUACAAACGACAGCAGAAUCAACCUUGACAGGGUUUUGUAAGUAAUGAAACUGAGGCUUCAGGAGGAUCUGUGACUAUUGCAAAUUUCCCGUGGCUAGUUCAGGGGCAGUUCCAGGACUCGAACCCCCAUCUCUGAGUUUCCAAGCUCAUAAGGUGUGCUGCCGAGUCACCCAUGAGUAGCAAUCAGGCCCCUUCUAACAUGUCCAGCUUUAAACCUGUGACCUCAAGGCAAGUGACUUCCACAUCUCAUUACCACUCCCCAGAGCCGUCCAGCCUCCAGUUGGAGAGGGAGGUUAAUCAGCCACGCAGUGAAUCUGCUUAUAAGGCUGUUUCAUGUAUGAUUUUUAUAUCUUGGCUCCUAAUAAUGGCCCCAUUAUAAAUGAUUGUCUCACUAUGAUAUACUGGUUCCUUGCCUUCUAGGAACUGAUUUAAAAGGAAGCCCUAGACUUCUUGUGUGGUAGAGUUUAUUCACCUCACCCUUUGCUUGCUCAGCAGCUGAAAUGGGAUGGAGGACAGCACCCCCCUCCAAAAAAAUAUUUUCUUCCCAGCAUGAGACAGUUGCCAUAAUUAGUAACCUCCAGCUCCCUUGAUAUCUUGAUAAUACUUUAUUAAAAAAAAACAAACAUUAUUCCUCCCUCUCCCCUCCCCACCCUAAGCGUCUGAUCAGACAGGUACUGCCAGUGGACAGAUACCCACCCCACAUGUCAUCUCUGUCCUCUAUGCAAACAAAACAUUUUAAUUGUUUCUGGGGUGACUUAGGAGAGCAGGUCAUGGGGGAUGUGUAGCAUCAGGGAGUGAAUUUUCAGACCAAAAACCUGGGCACUAUUUUUUUGUUGUUUUUCAGACAGAGUUUCAAAAAAACCUGACUCUUCCAGGUUGGAGUGCAGUGGGGUGAUCUUGGCUCACUGUAGCCUCCGCCUCCCAGGUUCAAACGAUUUUCCUGCCUCAGCCUCCCAAGUAGCUGGGAUUACGGGCACCCACCACCACGCCUGGCUAAUUUUUUGUGUGUUUUUAGUAGAGAUGGGGGUUCACCAUGUUGGCCAGGCUGGUUUCACACUCCUGAACUCAAGUGACCCACCCUCCUUGGCCUCCCAAAGUGCCAGGAUUACAGGCGUGACCCACUGCGCCCGGCCAAACUGGGCACCUUUAUCCACCAAAUAUUUAUUUCAUCACUAUUAUUAGUUAGGCUUAAGAAUAUACUAGUAGAUACAACAGGAGAGUAUAUAGCAGAACAGGACACGUAGAAAAAUCUGGAAUGAGUGUUAGGAAUAUAGAUAGAAAUUACUAAGGAAAAUGGUACUUCUGUGGAAUUCUUGGUGCUAGCUAUGUAUACAUGGUGAGUUUUGGUUCUACUCCUCAAUGAGUUUAAGAUGAGGGAAAUCAUUAAAUAAUCCUUUGUUUUCUUCAAAAGUUGGGUUGCACUGAAUAUUUAAAGUUCUUUAAAUUCUUCUGUAAACUCCAAGGCUAAGCAAUAUAUAAUCUAGUUACGAAGGCCUGCCUGCUGUUAUCAGAUUGUAUUAAGCUGUUUACUACCUAAGGGCUUUUUUCCCGUGCAGGUUUCUCUCCUCCAUGGUCUUCUCCUGCGCUUCGUAUAUCUACCACCUCCUCAUUCCUGAGCUGUUGGUAUGAACGUUCCCUCCUCAAGGAGGCCCAUCCUGGCCAUCUGUGUUAGUUUCUUAUCACUGCUAUAACAGAUGACCACACUUUGGUGGCUUACGUACCCUAAAUGUCUUCUCAUACCAUUCUGGAGGUCAGAAGUCCAAAAUAGGUCUGUUUUAGUCCUUUUGUGUGGCUAUAAAGGAACGCCUGAGCUGGGUCAUUUACAAAGAAGUUUGUUUGGCUCGUGUUUCUGCAGGCUGUACAAGAAACAUGGUGCCAAUGUCUUUCUGAUAAGAGCUUCAGGCAGCUUCGACUCAUGGCGAAAAUUGAAGGGGAGCCAGCAUGUUCAGAGGACAUAUUGGGAGAAAGGAAGCACGAGAGGGGAGGGGAGAUACCAGGGUCUUUUCAGUUUCUAGAGGCCACCUGUGUUCCUUGGCGGAUGGCCACAUCUUCCAUCCUGAAAACUAGGAGCACAGCGUCUUCAGUUCUCUCUCUGGCUCUGCCCCUUCUCUCUCCCUUUGCCAUCUCUUUAGAUUUAUUUGUGACCUUUAGGUCCUUGGUGACUGCAUUCGUCUCACUCAGCAUACUCUCCUCGUCUCAGGAACUUGCUUCCCACUGCGAAGUCCGCUUUGCCAUGCCAAAUAACACACCUGCAGGUUUCAGAGUAGAGCCGGGAUGUGUUUUGGUUUUAAUUUUGGUGUUUUGGUAGAGAUGAUGUCUCACUAGGUUGCCAAGCUGACCUCGGACUCCUGGGCUCCGUCAAUCCUCUCGCCUUCCAAAGUGCUGGGAUUACAGGUGUGAGCCACUACACUUGGCCUUUUAUCCUGUCCUAACUAAAGAAAGUAAGGUCCCUCCAUCCUUUAUCUUAGCCCCUUCUUUCCUUAGCCUCCUAACACUCAUCAGAAUUUAUAUAUUUUAAUUUUUUUUUUUUUUUUUUGAGACAGAGUCUCACUCUGUCACCCAGACUGGAAUGCAGUGAUGUGAUCUUGGUUCACUGCAACCUCUGCCUCCUGGAUUCAAAAUCCUAUUCUCCUUCCUGAACCUCUGGAGUAGCUGGGAUUACAGGUGUGUACCACCACCACACCUGGCUAAUUUUUGUAUUUUUAGUAGAGAUAAGGUUUCGCCACGUUGGCCAAGCUAGUCUCAGACUCCUGGCCUCAGGUGAUCUGCCCUCCUAAGCUUCCCAACGUGCCAGGAUUACAGGACACCAUGCCUGGCCUCUGUUUUAAAUUUUAUUUUUCACUUCAUUCAGUUUUGCCAACUGCUAGAGCUAGAACAUAAGCUCUCUAAAGGCAGAGACCAUGCCUAGAAUCUCCUUCCUUUUAUCUCCCCUCAGCUGAAACAAACUCUGCUGUGUCAGGAUCUGCUGGUUGUGAGUGAGAAGCUUCACCCAGCUGGCUGAAGUGGGGCAGGUUGGAGUGCGGGGUGCCUUGUGAAAGUGACAACUUUAGGUCCGUAACUGGCUCAGACUCUGCUAGUCCCAGAUAUACAGAAGAUGUCAACAAGAGUCUUUUCCUUCUCUUUGGGCCCAGCUUUCUCUUUGUGAUGUAGGAACUUCCUUCCCUGAUGAUGGAAAAGUCUUGAGGAUGUGAAUCUCCCCAUUGCCACAAUCUGGAGUCUAGUUGGAGACAUCCUUGAAUCAAUUUAAUUAUUUAAUUAUUUGUUUAUUUUUUUGAGAGGGAGUCUGUCUCUGUCGCCCAGGCUGGAGUGCAGUGGUGCAAUCCUGGCUCACGGCAAACCCCACCUCCCAGGUUUCAAUGAUUCUCCUGCCUCAGCCUCCCAAGUAACUAAGAUUACAGGCAGCCCCCCACCAUGCCUAGCUAAUUUUUUUUUUUUUUGUAUUUUAUUAGAGACGAGAUUUCACCAUGUUGGCCAGGCUGGUCUCGAACUCUGGACCUCAAAUGAUCCCAUCGCCUUGGACUCCCAACGUGCUGGGAUUACAGGCAUGCGCCAAUGCACCUGGCCUGUUUUUAAGUUUCUUAGAGACAGGGUUUCGCUCAUGCCCAUGUUGGAGUGUGGUGGCAUGACUGUAGCUUACUGCAGCCUGUAAGUCCUGGGUUCAAGUGAUCUCCCACUUCCAUCUCCUGAGUAGCUGGGACUACAGGUGGUUACCACCACAACCAGCUUUUUUUUUUCAAAGCAGGGGUCUUACUCUGCUGCCCAAGCUGGUCUUGAACUCCUGGCUUCAAGAAAUCCUCCUGCCUAAGUCUCCCAAAGUGCUGGGAUUAUAGGCAUGAGCUACUGUGCCAGGUCCUUCCCCUGUUUAUUAACACAUACCAUGACCUUGGCCUUUCCCACAUCUUAGGUUUUGCUUACUUUCCCUCCUUUCCUUUACUGAUGACUCUGCCCACUUUUGACCUCUGUUAAAAUUGUACUGUUGUUACGUUAUUACUUUAUAUGUUGAGUCUACAGUGUGCAACUUGGGUUUACUUACCGCGUUUUCCCCUUAGGAAAACCUCACACAUACAUACUUGCAGGUCUGGUUCAUGGUCAUACAGAGGAAUUAAAUGACCUUGUCCUCCAAAGACGGUGAGCCGCAGUAGUGGAAGCAGGAUCUAAACUUGUGUCUGUGGUUGAAUCGAAAGCAUUGGCCACCAUCUUGAUUCACCUCUCUUAUCUGUCAUUCUAUGGAGGGCAGGUUUCAGUGUAUAUUUUUUUCUUUUAAUUAGAGUGUUUGUAGAUUGGAAGUCUAUUUUACUUUAUCUGUGUAAUGGUCAUAGCAGCUAGAAGGUAGUAGGACUGGCUAAAAUACCUGAGGAGGAAGGGAAGAAGAGGAAGAAAAGUAAGACAGAUGAACUCAGAUUAAGGAAAAUAAAGAGUGUUUGGCUAAUUUGCAUCAAAAGGACCUCAUUUUCCUUUUUGUUCGUAGUUUACUACAUGCAGUGACCAUUAAUGUUUCUCCGAUUUCUUCAGGACACACUUUGAAGGUGAAGUACGUGUAUCUGCUUUUCUCCUUUCAGAAGGGCCUAGUCCUAUCUGUAAAAAUACGGAUAGUUUUCCUCGUAAAUUCCAUAAGCUGGAGACACUGCCCCAUUCCAAAUGAACACAGAUUCGAUUUGUCACUUGAGUGACAUUGGUGUCCUUGUGCCCUGCUUCCCAGCUUUGCCCCCCAUGACAUCAGCCUGCUCAUGCCAUGCUUGAGAUUUGCCCGGUGACUCAACCCAAAUCUAAAGCCCGAGUCAUAGGAAUCCAGGACACCUGCGUGCAAAUGCAUUUUUCAUGUAUGGGUUGUUCAUUCUGGUCUUUGAGAUGGUGUAAUUAGCAUAUGUUGUCAAGUGAUGUAUUUAUUAUAAUGGAGGUGUUCUCAGGAAACCAGAUUUAAUAGUUUUAAAUCAGAGGCCAACAUGGACUUCUAGGAAUUCCAUUCACAGUAAAUUUUACGCAUGGUGAAAGGUUAUGGAAUGGGUUUCCAUGCCACGUCUCCUCUGUCCCACAAAUCUCAGCUGGCCUACAAAGGUUCCACUGUGGAUUUUUGCCAGCAAGCCACACUGAUGUAGAAAGAAUAUUUCAGGUUUAUAUUAUCACGUAGUUGGCACAUCCUCCAUUGGAAAUGGAAUUGGGAAAAGGUGGCUUCGCUGUUGGGCUUAUAUCCUGAAACCUUAUAGUUAUGUGAUUCUCCUUAACAGAGGGACUGGUAAGCUUAGGGCUGACAAAAAUUUGGCUUUUCUCCUGUUGGAUUCAUAGCUCCUUGACUGCUGAAACCAUUGCCCAUCUGUUCAACUGUUGUAGUCAUGAGGAGGUUAGAACCCCAAUCCAAGGGCCAGAUACCUGGCUUCCCUCUGUGGGGAUCAGAAGCCCACAAAGUUUUCUUGUAUUUGAAGCACCAGUGUAGCACUACUAUACAGCAUCUUGACUUAAUCUGUUCAAUUUCAUGUGUGUGUGUGCAUCCCUGGCAUGCUUAAAUAAGAAAGGCAAAUGAGAAAGAGACAGAGAGAAAGAGAGAGAGAGAGAGAGAGAGAGAGGAGAGCCCCGAGGUGCCGGAAGGCUGUGGUUCCUUUGUGUCUGCAGAAAAGAUAUAACGAUUGAAUUAGACUCUUAAAUAUCUGUGGAUGUCAGGUUGAAUACAAGCAGCUAUUCAGUGUUUUACUCUGGCAGGAGAACAAGUCCCCUGGAGGUGGGAAGCCAUGCAGGUCCCUGGAAGUGUGAGCAGAUUGUUAAAAUGGCAUCAAAGAUAGGCUGGCCUAAUGCCAGAGUCUCUCCUUGAUGUUCACCUGAGGUCUAGAGCUAAACUCUUGCCUUUACCUGUUCCAUGCUUAGUUGUUCAUGCUUUUCACCUAGAACCUCAGUGCUAUUGCUUUCAGAGACCCAGUCCCCAGCCCAUGACCCUGGCCUCCCCUUCUCUAACCAGUGCAGGUUAUAAGCAUCAGUACAUAACUGAGGAGCGCAGGGGCAGCAGCCAAAAUCUCUGAUGAGGAGCCUCUUCGUUAUCAAAGAGCUUAUGUUUUGCUAGGAGACACUGUUGGGUGGGAAUUUGGCUUCUAACAAACUGACUGGUUAGAGUCGUGACUUACUCUUUCUAAGUCUUAGUUUUUUCAUCUGUAGAAUGGGGAGUACUGUUAGUUAUUCCCAUACGGAGUGAGAGAGAGUGUAAGUAAGAUGGGAUAACCGGCACAGGGAUGGUUGCCGUUACCAAUUACAUUCUUAUGGUGAUUGUUUUCCACCUAGAUCAGGUAUAAGGUGAAUGUAUUCUUGGCCUUCCUGGGACUUUUUUUUAAAGGAAGUACCUAUGAGGCCUCAUGAUAAGCCAAGUGUCCAGAAGGUAGCUUGAGACCAGGGCUUCUGGAAACUUAAAAGAUGUUUGGGGCCGGGCACAGUGGCUCACACCUGUAAUCCAAGCACUUUCGGAGGCUGAGGCUGGCAGAUCACGAGAUGGAGACCAUCCUGGCCAACAUGGUGAAACCCUGUCUCCACUAAAAAUACAAAAAUUAGCCGGACAUGGUGGUGUGCACCUCUGGCCUCAGCUACUCAGGAGGCUGAGGCAGGAGAAUCACUUGAACCGAGAGUCAGAGGUUGCAGGGAGCCGAGAUCGCACCACUGCACUCCAUCCUGGCAACAGAGUGAGACUUCCUCUCCAAAAAAAAAAAGUUUGGAAGCCAUGUCUCAUGAAUAUCAAAUACACUUGUGGACUCUAUAAAAGGUUGUAAAGAAAGUAAUAAUAAAUCAUCCAGACCCCUCAGCAGUUUACUCACCUCUGUUGUGCUCAUGUAUGACUCAACCUGUUCAGGGCCUCCCCGUGUUACCUGGACAGCUGCUGCCAUCCUCAGCACCCAGCCAAGACUCCUCAAUCAUGCAGGACUUAGGGUUUAUCAUCUCCAAGAAUUGGGGGCUGUGGAAAAGAUGCCAUAUUUCUUCUUUUGAGAUUCUGAUUCUUCUGUGAUAAAAAUAGAGUUGAUAGACAAACCUAUAUUUCUUUUAUAUGUAUAUGUAUUUUUAUUAGACUGUGUAUUUCUAAAUCUUCCUUAAAUAAUGACCUAAGUAAAUGAUUGGAUUGGACCCAGACACACAGCCUGAUUUGACUUCCUGCUGUCCAUCGCAGUUCUGGAGUUCACACAUCAUUUGUUACUUUGAAAAUGAACUUUUGUUAUUUGAUUAUGGUAAUAAAUAAUCUGCAUGGCAGUAGAAGGAGAAGAAAACAAGAACCUGAACUAAACCUGGACAGAAGGAAAUGAAAAUGUUCUGUUCCACUAGCAUGAGAUGAUCACUCUUAAUAUUUUGUUGUAUGUUCUUUUCUUUCUUCUGAGUGAUAGUAUUUUUUUAAACAAAUUGGGCUUAUAAUAUAUAGGCAUAUGCACACACACACACACACACACACAUACUUUUUAAAAUAACAAGGAUUUCUCGUGUCAUUAAACAUUGCUUGAAAAAUAUUUCAAUAAUUUCCUAAGGUUAUACUAUGUAAAUGAAUUGUAUUUUAUGUAACCAUUCCCUAUUGUUGGAUAGCUAGGCUACUUAUAGUUUGGGCACUAUUUUUAAAAAUAAGAUCUUAGGCUUAUUUUACUAUUUAUUUUUGCCUUACACUUUUUGUAAACGUAAUCAGAGCAGUGACAAUGGAUGACUCCCCAAGAUCCUUUUGCCUCCAAUAACUAAUCUAAGCCCAUAAUACUAACAUAUGCUCCUUGCCAGUGAUUGGUUUAGAAAUAGGCACAUGACCCAAUCCUGACCAAUGAGUAUAGAGGGUGCUUGUGGGGAAGGUUUCCUACUCCUAAAAGAGAUACACAAGGAAGAGAGACUUUCCACUUCCUGUGGACAUAGGUGUCCACGGGACUAGCAGUGGCCAUGUUGGGUUCUGACCACCUCAGUUGAAAAUGACUCUGUGUAGGACAGAGGAGCAAGUGGAAAGAACCUGGGUUCAUUGUGGCAUUUUAGAGCCGCCGAUUCAACUGUCCUAUGGGUUUCCUACCUCUGAACUUCCAUUGGUCAUAAAGUAAGCUAUUAGGUCAGUGCAAAAGUGAUUGCAGUUUUUGCCACUCAAAGUGAAGACGAAACCACGGUAACUUGUAGCACCAUCCUAAUACUUUGAAUUGAGUUUGAAGCACGUGUCUGCUACAUGCAGCAGGACACAUCUGUAAUCACACAGGAGAUCCUGGCAAACAUCUUUACAUUUCACACUGCAAAUAUUCUCACAGAAGGCAAAGCAGAGAUUCAGAGAAAUUGAGAUUUGCUCAAGGUCAUGUCCAGCGUUGGGAACCCAAACUAUUGCAGAAACUUCUGAAGUUAUCACAUUGCUACUUAAAGCAAAAUGCCUUCUCUUACUUUCAGGUAGAGAGAAACUCAAAGGCCAGGGUGGGACUCAGGAUGAGCGCAGGACUUAGAAUCGGAAAGUGUGAGUUUGAAUUGGCUUCAGCUCUUUACCUGAGUGCGUGAUUUGGACAGAGGUCACAACCCUGAAAACCCUGAUUUUCAUACUCUUUAUUGGUAAAUGAAGUUAGCACACUGAUACAAGAUAUAAAUCCCUUUGUAAAAAUAUAAAGUAAUCAUGUAGUCAUUCUCUUCCUCCUCCUCAUCAUCGUGUUCCUUCACACCAGCAGUAUUUAUCAACAAACUGCCUACUAUGUGCUACGCUCUAUUUUAAAUGUUAGCAGUAUAGUAAUGAACAGAUGUUACCUCUGUCCUCAUAGUUUUUAUGUUCUAAUGAAAGUGGCAGAAAAGAAAAAGUGGCAAAACAAUCAACUGAGCUCUUUGAAGAAGAGGCCCAUGUUCUUUUUAGAUUCUGAUUUCUCCAUGAUAUAAAUAGUUUUUUAGAUGAUCAGUUGUUUUUUUAUGUACCUACCUAUUUAUACCCCCUCUGUGUGUGUGUGUGUGUGUGUGUGUGUGUAUAAAAUUACAUAUCUAAUACAAAAUCUAAAAAUAUUUUUGGGCCUGUGAAUUUUUUUAACCUUUCUUAACUCACAUCCUAAUUAUUUGAUUUGACGUUGUGAUGGAACAUAUUGUUGUCUUGAUUUUUGGAAACAGACCAGUGAGUCUUCAAUUGGGUCCUAAGGUCCUCUAAAUAUAGCUGUUAUAUAUGCAUAUUUUUGGGGGUGGGGUGCAUAUGUAUAUGUGCAUGCGUGAUUAUCUCGAUAAUUUAGAAAGAUAAAGCGUUGUUAGAUCAUCUGUAUGACCACAUUUAGAAUAAGCACCACCACAUCAGAAUGUCUGGAUGUACAUUUUCUGUCGGUACUUGCUUUGGUACAACUCUCUGGCUUUCCCCAAGUCUUCCGCCACCUUCUAACCUGGCCUGCAUCGUGGUCCUUAUCAACCUUAUUUUACAGCUGAGGAGAUUUUACUCGAACUAGCUUCAGAGACUCGCUGUGGGCACAGGUGCCCCAGGCUGCAGCCUGAGAAUGAAACUGAGGUCUCUCUCCCUUCACACUCCGCUCUCAGUCUCUGCCUCAUCCGGCUUCUCAGGGUGGUAGGGCGUGGGCACUAAUUUGAUUUGAUCACUUAGAGGAAACAGCUUACAAAAUGCUACUGAGCAGUGCCUGUCCUUUCUGAGAACCUGAUGUAAUAACGUUGGCUUAAUCCUCCUCAGCUUGUAUCUUGAGGGAACAAGUAAAUUAAACAAGUAAUUAUAUCCAUAAUGUUUUUAGAAGUUAGAAGAUUUAAAUAUAUGAAUGUCGUCUGAGUGUGCAGCCUUUUGUCUGCUGUGUUUCCUGCCAAAAGAUCUCUUGACAGGAAAUAAACAUUAAAAUAAUCUUUAAUCCCUUGUUUGGUCUAUUACCAUUAACAAUUGAUGCACUUUAAUUUUGUGGGGUUUUAACUACAAAAUGGAACGGCUAAGUAGUGAUAAUUGGGUUUGGAAUUAUACGGUCAUUUAUAUCAACAGAGAUGCAAGAGGCUGGGAGGGAAGGUGAUUAAUUAUUUACUAUUUCCUGGCUGUGGUUCCCGUUAUAGAAUUUUCUGAUAUGUUCUGCUGUGAACAAUUAUCACCAAAUGAAAGUAAACAAAUCUGUGAUUUGAAGCUUUAUUUAGAAGUUAGUCUAUAUUUAGGUGAUGUGGGCUUGAUUUUCACAGACCCUUUGGACUGCGUGUGUUCCCUUUCUCAGGGUCCCAGCUCUGUGUUCGAGUGUGGUUAUCUUUGUGCAUCUUGAAAGCCAAAACGCACAGCUCUGGGGAAAGCCUUGAUUUCGCCAGGAGAGAAGAAGAAAACAUUGAGUCAGAUCUAGGUUGAAUGCCGAAGGUCUGUUUGGAAAUGCGGGUGUGGUUUAUUCUUCCUCCUUUCUGAUUUGCCUCAGUACCGUAUGGGAGGUGGGAAAGGAUCAAAAUUAUUAUGUCAGCCUGAGGAUGAAAGUUACACUCUGUCGUUACUCAUAGUGCACACGUGUGUGUGUGUGUAAGGCAGGAUUACCUCUCUGUGCCUCAGUUUCCCCAUCAUCCUUCAGUGGCAGAUCAGAUCUAUCUGAUCAGGCCUUUUUGGGGUCACCCACUCUAACAUGCAUGUCCUUUCUCUGUCCGCCCUUGGUGCUUGUGUUAGUCCAUUCUCGCAUUGCUGUAAAGAACUACCUGCAACCGGCUAAUUUAUAAAGAGGUGUAAUUGGCUCACAGUUCUGCAGGCUGUGCCGGAAACACAGCUAGGGAGGCCUCAGGAAAGUUACAAUCAUGGCAGAAGAUCAAGAGAAGCAGGCAUGUCCUCCAUGGCUGGAGUAGGAGGAAGAGAGCGAAGGGGCAAGUGCUACACACUUUUAAACAGCCCGACCUCAUGAGAACUCACUGUCAUGAGAACAACAAGGGGGAAGUCACCCCCAUGAUCCAGCCACCUCGUGCCAGGCCCUUUUUCUAACAUUGGGGAUUGCAGUUUGACAUGGAAUUUUGGCAGGGACACAAAUCCAAACCACAUCAGGGCCCACAGAGCACAUCCUGGGAUAUCUUCCUGGCUUUCCUUACAAGGGGUUCCUUCCAAACCCAGGAGCUACAAUCCCUAGGCAGAUUGUUCUGACACAAAAGACUGAUGAGUUCUAGAUGUGAUGUUUUAUGGGAAACAGGAAGACAUUUAGGGGAGGCUACAGGUUCACAGCUGUUCUGCCCAUCAUGGCGCCUGGUCCAUGCUCGGACUCUGGAGUGUUAGGGUCUUUGGGCACAUAGUGGAUGAGGAUUUUGCUUCAUGUACUCAAUUAUUUCUGAAAAUAAUGCAGCCCUCUUGUGGGGCUUUCUCGCUAAUUGAGUGGUGCCAUCAUUCAGUCAAUUGCACAGUUCAAAUAUCAGGCUGCCACUUUGGCUGGCCCCUGCAUCCCCCUCACUGCCACCCCACGUGUCCUGCUGAUCACUGAGGUUUGUCAUUUUUACUGCCUUUGAGUCUGUCCAUUGUCACCAUUCCACCGUCAUCCCUUUUGUUCUUGUGGCCAUGGUUACCUGACAGUGGAGUCAUUUGUCUCUGGUUUUCACCCUUCCGACUGCCCUCAGCCCACAGAUAGGAAGAAAAUGGGGAGGAGGGAGGAUACUUACCUUCUUCCUCACAGUUUUUCCCCAGCCUCUAAAGGAGCCUUUGCUUUCUGACACCAGGGCCCAGGGCCCCUCAACAUGUCAAGAACAAUAUUGGACAAGCUUGUCGAUAACAGAGUCCAGGUGGUUCCCUGUGCCCAUGAUACAUGCUAGGGUCACUGAACGGAGAAGACAGAAGAGUCACCAGACCCAGAGUCUAGGCCCUCCUCUGCCUUUAAGUUAAAGGUGUGACCCCAGUCAGGGCUGAAACAAGAGGCCCCCAGACCACUGGACCUUUAUCUCUUACAGUCAGGAUCUGAUGGCAGAUUUUAGGCCCAUCCUGAAUUUCUUUGGCCAAACUUGACUCUAGAUUUUUAUUGUUGUUGUCCUUUUUUAUUAAUAUGUUUGUGUGUGUGUGUGUGUGUGUGUGUGUGUGUGAGGGCUCAGGUAGUGUGCAGAGCUCAUUAGAAAAUAUAGCGUAAUACUUGAAAAAUUACUUUAGGGCUGGGUGCGGUGGCUCACACCUGUCAUUCCAGCCCUUUGGGAGGCCAAGGCAGGUGGAUCACCUGAGGUCAGGAGUUCGAGACCAGCCUUACCAACAUGGAGAAACCCCUUAUCUACUAAAAAUACAAAAUUAGCCAGGUGUGAUGGAACAUGUCUGUAAUCCCAGCUACUCGGGAGACUGAGGCAGGAGAAUCGCUUGAAUUUAGGAGGCGGAGGUUGUGGUGAGCCGAGAUUGCGCCGUUCCACUCCAGCCUGGGCAACAAGAGUGAAACUAAAAAAAAAAAAUUACCUUUGUUCGCACCUUGGGAAAUGGACUCAGAGGCCACGUGACUUUGAUUUUUCACUUUAUCCAGAAGUUUCUCACCCUUGGCCACACUGACAUUUGACACCAGGAGAUUCUUCACUGCGGGGGAUUUCCCGUGCAUUGCAGGCCAUAGAGCAGCAUCACUGGUCUCUACCCACUAGAGGCCAGUAGCAUCUUCUCCUUCCUUAAGUCUUGUAAUACCAAAAACAUCUUCUGCAGAUAUUGCUAUAUAUCCCUGGGGGACAAAAUUACCCCUGGCUGAGAACCCCUGCUUAAUCCUUUUCUCUAAUAGUUAUGGUUCUUCCAUGAGAAAAUAUUUUUAAUAGCAAAGUAAAUGAAAGAAGAGAGUAUUAAUAAGACCCAGAGUAACAAUAUAAACUACGACUUAAGUAACGGUCGUUACGUGCCAUGCCUGACUCCAAACACUUUCCAUGUAGUCACUAAUUUAAUCCUCACAAGAAUUCUGUAAUGCACUGUAAGUUUCUCAGGGCUGCCUUAAGAAUGUGCUGCAGACCAGACAAAUUAAAACAACAGAGAUUGAUUCUCUCACGGAUUCGGAGGCCAGACACCUGACAUCAAAGUAUUGGCAGAGUUGGUUCCUCCUGGGGCUCUGAGUGAAAGCCUGCUCCAUGCCUCUCCCCCAGCGUCUGGUGGCUGCCAUUAAUCCUUGACAUUUCUUGGCUUGUGGCAGCAGAACCCCAUUCUCUGCCUCUGUCUUCACAUGGCCGUCUUCAGUCUGGGUCUUUGCUCCCUUUUCCUGUAAGGACUCUAGUCAUUGAUUUUUAGGGCUCAUUGUAAUCCAGGACAAACCCAUUUUACCUUAACAAAUUGCAUCUGUUAAGAUUUAAUUUCCAUUGGAACCAGCCCAAAUGCCCAUCAAUGAUAGACUGGAGAAAUAAAAUGUGGCACAUAUCCACCAUGGAAUACUGUGCAGCCAUAAAAAAGGAUGAGUUCCUGUCCUUUGCUGGGACAGAGAUAAAACUGGAAACCAUUAUUCUCAGCAAACUGACACAAGAACAGAAAACCAAACAUUGCAUGUUCUCAUGCAUAAGUGGGUGUUGAACAAUGAGAACACAUGGACACAGGGAGAGGAACAUCACACAGUGGGGCCUGUUGGGGUGGGGGGGUUGGGGUCUAGGGGAGAGAGAGCAUCAGGUGAAAUACCUAAUGUAGAUGACAGGGUGAUGGAUGCGGCAAGCCACCAUGGCACAUUAUACCUAUGCAACAAGCCUGCAUGUUCUGCACAUGUACCCCACCAGUUAAACUAUAAUACUUUUUUUAAAGUUGAAAAAAAAAUCCAUUUCCAAAGAAGAUCACAUGCUGGCGUAGACAUAAAUUUUGAGGGGAAUGCUGUUUAACCCAGUACAAGCAGGUUUUACUCUUAUCCUCAUUUUACAGAUGAGGAAACUGAGGCACAGAUAAAUUCAAUGACUACCUGACUCUCAGAGAUAACCGUGCAGCAGAACCAGGAAUUCAUCCAAGUGUUUUUGCUUCCACAGCCUGAGCUCCUAACCAUUGUGCCUGUGGUUCUCAAAGGCUUGUCCCUAAUCAGCCACAUCAGUGUCACCUGGGAACUUGUUAGACAUGCACAGUCUCAGGCCCCUACCCCAGACUUCCUGAGCCAGAAUCUCAGAGUCGGGCUCAGCAAUCUAGUUUCAGCCCUCCAGGGAAUUCUGGCGCCUAAAGUUUGAGAACUUCUGAUCAAAAAUGCAAGAUAAGAAAGAGAAAAAAACCUUUCAAGACAUCAUUCAGAUCAAUUAUCAGAUGUUUCCGAAGUGCGCUUGCUUUCCAAAACACUGUUCUCAUCUCUGCCUCCAUCGGGGUGGAUCAGGAGAGUCCUGUUCAAUUUUCUAAAGGAGCCUUUUCCUUCUCAUUUGUCAGUGCCCAAAAGGCUUUGAAAAGUGACAGUGUUCAUAUAUUUGCCCCUAUGAGAUAGAAAGUGUCAUGUCAAAGAUAAAUGGAGAAAAGCAUUUUCUUUUUUACAAGUCACUAGUGUUUAGACACACAGCAUGACUCUUCUUACAGGUUUAUUUCAGAAGAGCAAAUCCCUGGUCCUCAGGCUCGGCUCUCAGCAGCCUUCUCAUCCCAAGGGUUUUCACCAUCAGAAAUUUAACAUGCUGUUAGUGUAUGCAACAAAAAGCCCAGUAAUUGUAGGCUCAUCAGUACAUUGUUAAUUGAUCCUCAUUUCCUAUUAUUUCACCUCAAAGCAAACACAUCAUUCACCAUAGUGACACCAGAGUUGUUUGUCUUCUCUUUGCAAGUGUGUGCUCUUUUUAGGAAGCUUUCAGUGUCCUCUAUUUCAGAGGGCCUUCCCCAUCUGUUUACUAUUGUGGGCUGCGCUGCUUUUUUUGUUUUUAAUUACAGGUUAUGUAAAAUAUUAUCAUCAGCAGGAGGGAGGUUAUUAUUACCUUAAAGAAUAAGUGGUAGAUGUGGACUGGCCACUGUGAGCCCAUCACUGAAAUGCACUUCCGCACACGGAAGGUCCCCCUUCCCAGGCAGAAAAUGGUUCAGUUUAUUUGAGGAGGUAUGGUGUGGGCUUGGGGAAACAGAAGGAAAUUGGAGACAACGCUAUUCUUCCUGAGAGGUGGAAGAGACCACUUAACACAGCUUUCAUUUUUCAGUUUCCAGUGGGAGAGGAGCUGGGGUGGGCAUAGAAUGACUAACAGUCAAAGCUCCUUCUGUCUUUUUUUCAGAGAAUUCACAAAACAAGCCGGGGCUUCCUGGUCCUGCAGAAGGUUUUACUGUUUCUUUGUGUUGUUUCUGCUACUCCCUUGGGGAAAAUCAUCCAUCAAAGGAAAAGAAGCUCAGGAGAAAAGUUUCAGACCUUUCAGUAAUGCAGUAAAAUUUCCCUCAUUCUCAAAACUCUCCAAAAGAAGCCAUCAUUAAUAUGGAUCAUGAGUUCAGGAGUUCAAGACCUGACUGACCAACAUUGUGAAACCCCAUCCCUAGUAAAAAUAUAAAAAUUAGCCAGGCGUGGUGGCAUGAGCCUGUAAUUCCAGCUACUCAGGAGACUGAGGCUGGAGAAUCGCUUGAACCCCAGAGGCAGAGGUUGCAGUGAGCCGAGAUUGCGCUACUACACUCCAGCCUGGGCAACAGAGCAAGACUCUGUUUCAGAAAAAAAAAAAUGCAACUGAGACUAUUGGAUACAUUUUGUUCAUUACCUGCUCUUUCCAUUUAAUAGUGUCUUAGAGAUUAUUUGGUACCAGCAUAUGUAGCUCAACCUCAUAAUACUCCAUGACAGAUAAUAUGGUAUCACAUGGGUGUCAUUUAAUUAAUUUAUUCAUUACUAUUUAUAGACAUGCAAGGUAGGUCCAUGUCUUACCUUUUUUUUUUUCUUUUGAUGGAGUUUCACUCUUGUCACCCAGGCUGGUCUGCAGUGGCUUGAUUUCAGCUUACUGCAACCCCUGCCUCCCAGGUUCAAGCAAUUCUCCAGCUUCAGCCUCCCGAGUAACUGCAGUUACAGGGGCCUAUCACCCCACCGAGCUAAUUUUUGUGUUUUUAGCAGAGAAGGGGUUUCUCCAUGUUGGCCAGGCUGAUCUCAAACUCCUGACCUCAGGCGAUCCGCCCUCCCUGGCAGCCCAAAGUGCUGGGAUUACAGACAUGAGCCACCAAGCUGGGCCCCAUGUCUUACUAUUACACAUGACGUAGUAAAGAAUGUUCCUUUACGUGUAUUUGGUCUGCUUGAGCAAGGAUAUCGGAAGGGAGGGUCCCCAGCAGCAGAAGUGGUGGAACAAAGGCCCUAGGUACAUCUUUGGAACAAUUAUUUUUACCAGAAUUACCAAAUCAUCCUCUAGAAUGGUUAAACCAGUUUCCUCUCUACCAUUCACCCACGAGAAUGCCCGUGUCACCCUGGAAAUUAUCUCCAGCAGCCACGACAGAGAGGACCGAAAUGCCAUUGGCAGGUCCCACAGCUCAGCAAUCAGCAUGCCACUCUUUGAAACUGAUGUUGUCAUUGUACUGCAGGGUUCUUCUGAAACUCCCACUUCAUAACACUGUGUAGUCCAGUCCCAAGCUGGGCGGUUUUCUCCCCCCUUCAAUACAUCACAUUGAUUUUCUGUAUGACUCUAUCUGCUUAAUACGAAGUGGGAUUGAACAAUUAUUUGUCUGGAUUUGAUCGUUCCUUAUCAAACAUUUAUGAUUUAGCUUUCACCACAGCAUCUUCUUGUAAGGUGUUUCUUAUUUUUAUCUUUUUCCACAAAGGUAGGAUUGUGUUGACAGCCCUGUAAUAAAUCUGUCUUGGAAGAGACAUGUUGCCAAGGAGGUGGGGGCUCUGUGCAUGGGAUGUUUGGGGGAAAAGCUUCAAGGAAGGGCGGUGCAAAUUGUUUCUGGACUGAUGCCAUCUUGUAGUAAUAGUAGUUAAUAGGCCGGGUACAAUGGCUCAUGCCUGUAAUCCCAGCACUCUGGGAGUCCGAGGUGGGUGUAUCUCGAGGUCCUGAUGAGGUCAGGAGUUCGAGAAAAGACUGACUAACAUUGUGAAACCCUGUCCCUAGUAAAAAUACAAAAAUUAGCCAGGCAUGGUGGCACGUGCCUGUAAUCCCAGCCCAGAGGCAGAGGUUGCAGUGAGGUGAGAUCACGCCAUUGCACUCCAGCCUGGGCAACAGAGUGAGACUCCAUCUCAGAAAAAAUAAAAAUAAACAAAAUGCAUGCAAAUGAGACUAUUGGAUACCAGGAGUCUGAGACCAGCCUGGGCAACCAGCUUGAGACAAAACUUCAUCUCUACAAAAAAUAGAAAAAAUCAUCUGGGUGUGGUAAUGCACAUCUGUGGUCUGAGCUACUCAGGAAGCCGAGGUGGGAGAAUCGUUUGAGCCCGGGAGGUGGAGGUUGCAGUGAGCCUAGAUUUGUCUCUGCACUCCAGCCUGAGUGACAGAGCAAGAGUCUGUCUCAAAACAACAAUAAUAAUAAUAAUAGUAGUAGUAGUAUGGUAGCAGUGAAUGCCUGACUUUGGGGUUUGCAGUAAGUUACGAUUGAGUGCUUCACAGGGAGGCAUAGUGGGGUGCUACGCUGAGGACGAAUUGCCUAGUGAAUAAGUGAGGUUGGUACAACCUAGGCCAGAUGUUAGAACUACCUCCUGUCUGUACAUAGAAGAAUAUUGCAGUCAGGGGCAAGGCAAGGUCAGCAGGAUUCCCUGAGAGUCUUGGUCAGAAUUUAACAUAAAUAUAAGGGAUUGGGAAAUAAGAGAGCAUAAUGAGACUUGUAUAUUUCUUUCUCUUUCAUUUGUUCUGUUUCUCAUUGAGAGAAUUUUCUAGCUGUAUGUGGAGACAAGAGGAUUAGAAAUUUUUACUGAGUUCUAGAAAACUUUACGGAGCACCUACCAUGCAGGUGCUCAUCCUGACCCCACUUGCAGGCUCUUGGGACCCGUUCCAAGAAUGCAGGAUGAAUAAGGCAAUGUGGGAAAACAGAAGGAGCACCAGGCCGUCCUGGGCUUGAUUUUUAUUCUGUUUUUUAAAAACUUAAAACAAUAUACGUUUACCAUCUCGCUUUCUUUGGGUGAAGAACUGAGCCUGAUGGAGCGUCUCUUGCAGGCUGUAGGUAAGAGGCAGUCAUUGGCUGGGGCUGGACCCGGGAAGGAUCCACUCCCAAGUUGCGUAGUUAUUGCCAAGAUUCAGUUUUUUGGUGGUUCCUGGACUCUGGGACUCGGCUUCUUGACCAUUGGUUUUGACUGUUGCCACAUGGGCCCCCCCCAAAGGCAGCUUGUGACAUGGCAGCUGGCUUGUGUCCCGAUGAGAAAGUGAGAGUGCAAGAAUUGGUGGGGAAGACGGAGCCAGGGUGUUUUUGAACGUAAUCUUGGAAGUCACAUCUAUGACUUUGGGUUUUUGACUGAGAUUAUUAUUCUCCCUUUUAAAGUGGACAUUUCAUUGGCGUAUUGUAUAGUGACAGAGUUGUGCAAGCAUCACCACUAUCUAAUUUCAGAACAUUUUGAUCACCCCCGAAAGAAACCCUGUACCCCUUAGCGGACAUUUCCCAUUCCAUACCCUCCAUCCCUGACAACUACUCAUUGACUUUCUAUGAAUUUGCCUAUUUUGGAUAUCCAUAUAAAUUGAAUCAUACAGUAUGUGGCCAACUGACUUGUUUCCUGUAAUGUUUAUAAGGGACGUGGUGUUAGUAUUAGGUCGGCGUAAUUACCUUUGAACCAGUUUAUUACUUCAUCGCCUUGUGUGGCCCAUUAAUAUUCUAUUUUAUCAAUGCAUUACAUUCUGUUUAUCUGUUCAUAGUUAAUGUCAUUUCUGCUUUCUGGCUAUUAUGAAUAAUGCUGCUAUAGGAACAUGUGGUUAUUUCUGGCUAUUAUGGAUAAAGCUUUAUAAACAUUUCCAAAGGUUGCUUGUAAUUUCUUUCUACUAUGAAUAAUGCUGCUUUGAACAUCCAUUUAAAGUUUUAGGGCAGACUUACAUUUUCAUUCCAACAUCAUUUUUUUAAUUAAAUGAGACAGAGUCUUGCUCUGUCACCCAUGCUUGACUGCAAUGCCAUGGUCUCAGCUCUCUGCAACCUCUGCCUCCCAGGUUCUAGUGAUUCUCCUACUUUAGCCUCCUGAGUAGCUGGAAUUACAGGUGCUCCCCACCACGCCCGGCUAAUAUUUGUAUUUUUAGUGGAGACGGGGUUUCACCAUAUUGCCCAGGCUGGUCUUGAGCUCCUCACCUUGUGAUCCACCCACCUUGGCCUCCCAAAGUGCUGGGAUUAUACGCAUGACCCACCACGCGUGGCCUGAUUCCAAUAUCCUUUUAUGGCAUGUCUUGGCAGUGACAUCUAUGACUAUGAGGAGUGUCUUGACAUGUCUUACAUCAUUUAAGUUAAAAUAAAGUAGUGGAAGAAAAUAGCAAUUGUUUAUGUGAUCAGAGAUGACUUUUGAGGAGGUGACAUUUGAACUACACCCUGAAUGAAGAGAGCUUUGCAAAGAUCUCAGCAAAGAAAAUCCCAAGCACAGUUUCAGUAAGUGCAAAGGCCCUGGGGUGGAGACACAAUUGAUGUGUUCAAGGGAGAGAAAGUGGCCAGUAUGUUUGGAGAAAGAGGGGAUGACAGGUGAUCCCAUAAAGGCGGGGGGCAGCCACACACAUGCAGCCACUGUGAAGUCUGAGUUUUACCUGAGUUCUGGUGAUCACUCCUCAGAGUUGGUAAGCAAACAGGUGACAUAAUUUGAAUCACACUCUUCAAAGAUGCCAGGGUUGCCAUGAGAAGGGCAGUCAGUAGCAGGUAGGAGUGAAAGCUGAAGGCCAUGUUGGGAGGUGACCCAGGAAUCUAAGAGAACAAUGAUGGUGACCAGGUGUAAUAAUGGAGAUAGAUAAACCAGGGUAGAUUCAGGAAACAUGACCCCACUAAGCGCAUUUGAAUGUAAUUGUCAGUUUUCCUCUUUCUCCCCCACUGGACCACAAGACGCUAACUCUUCAUGUACACACUGACUCCCAGUGUGGGCUCACCACCCAGGAGGCACCCACUGUGUGUGUGCUGCAUGAGUGCCAUGGAAUGAACGCCCACGUAGGAAGUGGCAGGCUGGAGAAAACGUGGCCACAGCUCUUGGCUGCUGUGGAUAUUUUGAACUUCUUCCUUGAUCAGGCUGACUCAUUCCCAGCCUGUACCCUGGAAGGAUGCCCUUUGUCCUGUCCCCUCUCACUAGCAGGGAUUCCAAGAUUGUAAAUAAUGUUUCCCUCUUAAAAUGUGAACAGAGUGAAGAGCCAGCAGUGUCAAAAUUCAGUGUGCCAAUGUUUUACGAUUUUUUUCCCUUUUAUAGAUGAGCCCAGUGUAUCCAUAUCAGUGUGUCUAGGAAGACCAAGCACGCUGAACGGCCAGCAGAAUAGAAACUCAGUGUGGUGAUCCGUUAUGUUCUUCCUGUAUCAGGCUCCUUGAGGCGCAAUUAUUAAAGUGGGGUUUUUCUUAAUUAUUAACAGUUAAAAAUAGGAAAAUAGAUUUCAAGGGGAAAAAAUUUGCAGGCAACAAGAAUCUAAUUCUAAAUGUGUGCAUGUGCGUAAAACGGAAUUUGCCAAACAUGAAUAGGCACUUACAAUGUGACUAGAAUUGGCUCUGUCAUGUGUCAGCCUAAUAGCCUAAACCCUGGUUCAAUACAAUGAACUUGGGAAGGUUUGCUUAAUGAAAGAACUGACGUUUUCUGUGCAGCGGCUGCAUUCAUCAGCCUGCAUCCUGUUCAUUACACUACAAAGGGCUGCCAGUGGGAAUUGGUAGGAUCAUCUAUUAGCUAAACGUGAUGGGGACAAAAGAUAGCAGAGGCCGGGGCUUUGUGGAAUUUUCUGUGGUGGUCCGGGUUCCUGGAGUAGUGAGCUCUGAUGAUGGGCAACAGAUUUCCAAGUUGGCAGGCGGGUUUCUGGAGUCACGGGCUGAAAUCCGGCACUGCCACGUCCUGUUACGCACAUCCUAAGGGAGCCUAGAAAGAGAGUUUCAUUUAGGCAUGGCAUUGCUGUACCCAUCGUGGAGUCAGUAGCGAUAUUCACAGCUGUAAGUCUGAAUGCAACUAUUAACUGCAUUAUUAUUAUUGAUUGAGUUAUUGAAUGUAACUCAUAACUACUGAGUUUUCCCUCUCCAUCUGGGCACAUGGGAAGGCUGUACUUUCCUGACACGUGACUUGCUGUGGCCAGUGGAAUCUGGGCGGAAGUGACGUGUUUCUCUUUGAGGCGGAAACUUAAAGAGCCUCCAGUCCGCCUCAUCACAAUCUGCUUUGCCUCUACAGAUUCUCAUUGCCCUCUCAGGGUGGGUCCUAGAGGUCUCUAAGAUAUGCCCUUUGCCUCUGUCACAUCGCACUCUACGCUGCUCUCAGCCAACACUCUUCUUAAAUACGCUAGCCAUCGAAACCAUACAACUUGGUUGGGCACAGUGGUUCAUGCCUGUAAACCCAGCAUUCUGGGAGGCCUAGGAGGGUGGAUCACUUGAGGUGAGGAAUUCGAGACCAGCCUGGGCAACAGAAUGAAACACCAUCUCUACUAAAAAUACAAAAAAAUUGGCCAGGCUUGGUGGUGCAUGCCUGUAACCCCAGGUACUCGGGAGGCUGAGGCAGGAGAAUUGCUGGAACCUGCGAGGCAGAGGUUGCCGUGAGAGCCGAGAUCGCGCCAUUGCACUCCAACCCGGGAUAGAGCCAGACUUUGUCUCAAAACAAAAAACAAACAAACAAAAACCAUGCAACCUAAUUCUCAAUCCCCCGUGUCUGUCUUUUCUCCUGUUCAUCUUGACUCCUCUUGGGAAUUCCCUAAUUGCUUAGAGGGCGAGAACCACGAGAUAAAUGUCCUGCGGCAACCAGGAAUGACAUUACAAGAUUCCGUUCAUUCCUUUGCCUCUCCCUUCGUCAUACAUUAUAUUCUUACUCUGAGCUAAGCACUGGGGACACAGGAAUGAAUUAGGAUCUUUCAGUUUAGUAAGAACAAGCAGGAACAAACAAUUAGAACAUUUAGUUUGUCAAGGGGAGUGACAAAGUUACGAGACAGGAGAAGUUAUCUGCUGGGAGCAGGUGAAGGAGUGACAGUAAGGGAUGAGGAUAAGGAAGUAUGGAGGAGGAAUCUUUAUGACAGAAAAGCGAGCAUCAGAUGGGCUUUGGAGUCUCAAUGGGUGUUUGUAGUUGGACCACCCUGUAAGUUGAGUGGUGGGGAAAAAGUCCGUUCUGAACAGAGGGAGGAGCAGGUAGAGCAGCUGAGACAUGGGCAUCUUCAGAGCAUGUCUGCGUCUUCCUGAUGAGACACAUGGUGUUCACUUGGUAAUUCCCUGGCAGCUUGUCUUCAUGGGGACUCCAUGUAGGAUAUGCAAACCUCUUUAUGUUUUGAAAAGGGAGAGAUUUAAUAAAGGCAAUUUGACAGAUACAAAAUUGUUGCAAAAGCUAAAAGAGUAGUUUUGAGGUUGACCUUCAAAGAAGCUCCCUGAAUAAUACAAAAGUGACCCUCCAGGAAGGUCCUUCCACUGAAGCUACAAUUGAAGCUCAGCAGAUGGGUAAGCCAAAGCUACCUGUGUUGCUGUGUCCCCAUCUCCACCACCAGGAAGCUGGAGAAGUGAUGCCAGAACAGAAGAAAGAAGAAGACAGAAAACUUGCUUCGCACACUCCUUUGCUAAGAGGAGAAGCCCCAAAGAAGCUGGAUGUGGCCCUUUCCACACAUCUGCUAUCCCAAGUAUCCCACGGCAGCACCCAGCAAUUGAUGGGAUGGAUUUGUGUCCAUAACCAAACUUGCAAUGGAGUCUGGAAAGGGAGUUUUAGCUCCAACUUUUUCAACUAGCAUAGCAGGAUCCAGGGGCCACAUUGCUCCCCAGGGAGUGGGGGAGGGGGGUGUUUUACAAUGGCUGGGACAUUUUUUAGUUGUCACAACUGGAGGGAGGAAGAGAUGCUACUCUCAUCUAGUGGGUCAAGGCCAGGGAUGCUGCCCAACACCCUGAAGUCCAUGGCACAGUCCCUACCACAACCAGUUUCCCAGCCCCAAACGUCCAAGUGCCCAGGUCGAGAAGCCCUGACCUAGCAGGAAGGUGAACAGAAACUAAAUGAGCCAGUUUCAGAUAUCCAUCACAAAUAUGUCACUUGUUUCUAUUCCAAACGCAUUAGAAUUUUUGUUUGAGCUAAAAAAAAACUAGAUACAAUUUAUUGGAUAAUUGCCUUUCUUCCCUUCAAUACGUGUUCCCUUGAAAUUGGCAUCCAUGUAUCCUGCAUGGUACCCAUAUUGACUAUUUCAGUGACUCAUAAGACUUCUUUGUUCAGAAUAAUCUCUAAUAAAAUUUUACUUAGGGAGAAAAAAAAAUAGUUUCUCUCCAUGUUGUGUUGCUUUCUUGCACAUGUACCGCUUUUUCAUCAGCAAAAUCUUAUUAUUAGAACAAGUCCUCUCAAAACAGUUGCCUUUUCUCCCCUCAUCCUCCCGCACCAAUAAUGUAAAGCUGUUAUUGGCUUGUUUUUCUUUUUCCUCCAGAGGCAGGAAGGGGGAAUGAAUGGUGGCCAAGAAUUUUAAAUUCCUGUUCCCGGCCGCUUCCGGAAGCUCCCUCUUUGACGUGAGGGCUUCUCUGCGUCAGUAGAGGCCAGCUGAGCUCUUGUUCAUCCCUCAUUCUCUGGUUUCCUUUCACCAGCAGGUCGAGCUCUAACCACAGCUGGGGUUUAGGAAGGUCAGGCAGCUUGUGUUGAAUGCCAGCACUCUUCUACCCAGGGUCAUAUCCUUGGUUGUUUUUCUGUGCAUCUGUCUUUUCCAACUUCCCUGUGAUUUUGGAAGGAAACACCUUUCCAGGCUCCCCAGUGACCCUGGUUCAUCCGGGAAAUAUGCAGGAAAAGCAUUGGUAUGUUACCUUAUGGGAACUAUUAGGCCUCAUCUCUGAGAAACUUACCAGAGGUGUGUGAUUGGAAGUUAUGCCCUCUGAAUGUGGAUUAUGGGAUAAAGGCUGGGUACACAUGCUUCAAUCUAGCCAGCCCCAGGUUUGGAUUCCACAUGGUUGUUGUAGUGGAUGAGUAAUGUUUUCCCUAAAUUCAUGUCUACCUGGAACCUCAGAAUGUGACCUCAUUUGGAAAUAAGGCCUUUUCAAUUAAAAUAUAUAUAUAUUUUUUAUUUAAUAAAUAGAGAGGGUCUUUCCAUCUUGCCCAGGCUAGUCUCAAAUUGUUCUGCUGAAGCUGUCCUCCUGCCUUGACCUCCCAGAGUGCUGGGAUUGCAGGUGUGAGCCACUCCACACAUCCGGAAAUAAGAUGUUUAUAGCUGUGACUAACGUAAAGAUAGAGUUGGGGAUGUGAUCCUGCUCAUUUAGGGCGGACCCUACAUCCAAUAAGAAUGUCCUCAGGAGAGACAGAACAGAGACACCGAGAGAGGAAGGUGAUGUCAGGACAGAAGUAAAGGUUGGAGUGACGCCAUCUGCAAGCCAAGGAAUGCCAAGGCUGUGGCAACCACCAGAAGCUGGAACAGAGCCUGUAGUGGUUUCUCCUGCAGAACUCCCAGAAGGGACUCAUUCUGCAGACACUCAGAUUUCAAACUUCUGGCUUCCUGAACUACGAAAGAAUACAUUUCUGUUGGGCCAGGUGCAGUGGCUCAUGCCUAUAAUCCCAGCACUUUCGGAGGCUGAGGCAGUCUGAUCACUUCAGCCCAGGAGUUGGAGACCAGCCUGGGCAACACGAUGAGACCCUGUCUCUACCAAAAAUUAGCUGGGUGUGUUGGGGCAUGCCUGUAGUCCCACCUACCUGGGAAGCUGAGAUGAAGGGAUUGUUUGAGCCUAGGGUGUGGAGGUCGGAGUCAGCGGAGAUUGUGCCACUGCACUCCGGCCUGGGCGACAGCGCAAGACUGUGUCUCAAAAAUUAGAAGAUGAAACACAAAUAAAUUUCUGUUAUUUUAAGUCACCUUGCCUGUGGCCCUAGGAAGCCAGAAUAGAUACUUUUGAUGGUUUAGCUUAUUUAGUCCCUGCCCCUUCUAGUUUGUAUGAUAACCCGGUUAAUUACAGGUGCUCUCAGAGCCCUGGUUUCCUUGUCUGUAAAGAGGAGAUUCCCUGUCUCAUUUGGAGGCGAUUGUAAGACCUAAAUGAGAGUGUAUGUAAAGCAUUUGGCAGGAUACCUGAUUCAGAGUAGGUGACCAAUUAAUAGUUACCCUAAUUAUUGUUGCUAUUAUUUAGAAUGUAAGUUUAUUUAAGAAAGCACCAUCAAUAUUCAAUUUCCCUUGCUAAUAAAAAGGAAGAAAGGUAUGGAUUGCAAAGUAGAAAAAUGCAUGUAAAUUAAACCGCUUUACAUUUUAAAAACUGGUGAGGUAGACACACAGGCAUUAUGCUCUUGAGUGUCUGACUUCAUUCCUUCUUAUCCCAAUCCAUUAGGAUUUGGCCUUCAACUGGGUAAUGGAAGAAAUACAAUCCUUGGCAAUCUACUACCGAAAAGCAGGAACAUCAUCCGCUUUUGGGUAGUUAAGAGUUAAGUAUGACUUUGAGCUAUAGGAUAAUGAUUAAAAAGCACUCUGUUAGCCUAUUUCACAGCUCCCCACUUUUGUAAAAGUUUAGAAUACCGGCAGGGCAGCAAAUACCUUUAAAUGAUUUUAUUCAAAUGUCAGAUUUAAUUAAAUCCAUGACCAGAAGACAAACCAAAAAUAAAUUUUCUGGGAGCUUGAGAAUUUUCCUUUUCCAUGUUCAAGGUGAUAACCAUAGAAUAAAACUUUCCCAAACACAUGCAAAUACAAGCGGGGGCAUUUAUCAUGAAAAUGCAGCUCUCAAGGCUGACUGGCUUGUUAACGUCGCAUUCUAUGGCUAAGUGCAAUGAUCAGAAAAAAUAUAUGUAUUGAGGAGACCGCAGAAUAAUGUAUAGAUGGGUGAUUUUGACUAAGGCUGGUCAGGUUCCUGUGAUCAUUCAGGCAUGCACUGGUGUUCUAACGGGCAGCCAGGUCAUUAGGCCCAGGGUAGUCAGUGUAGCACCGCAGGAGAAGUCAUGUGUCUCCAAACUGUGCCUAAAUUGCCUGUAAUCGGUUCAUUCCAACUUGCAGAACCAGACCUUACCCUUUGCAAGGAGAGCAACUGAAAAGAGACUUAAAUAAAAGUGAUCAGAUUAAAUUUUAAAAACGAGAAUGACGACAAGGAUUCCCAGAGGACCAUCCCCGGUCCACAGCCCCCCAUUUUAGGGUCCAGCAUUUGUACUGAUUAUGGCCUGACAGCUCUUGAGUUUCCAAUGAUAACAGCCAUCUGACUUGAUCGGAGUUCAAUGGAUUUUCACUAAAAUAGAAUCAUCGUCUUGGUGAUGGAUAGAAAAAGUAAAGCAAUACAUCCUGAUAAAUGCCGUGCCUGCCUCCUUCCUCUCCCCGGCAGUGACCUUGCGCAAUCCAUAAGAGGGCAAGGCAGAGAGCCCCGGCCACCGCCGCCGCGCAUCAGGACUUGGAAAUUUAAGUAGCUUUGAAACCCAUCAAUGGGGUGAAGGGGGAAUGGCCUGAGAAAGCAAUGGAUCAUGCUUAGAGGACUCAGAGGGAAAUCGGGUACGCUGAAGGUCAGCGUGCAGACAUGUCCUGAAGGAACAGCUCAAGUCCUCAUUCUCAUUCAUGGGAGGCUGUGGCCCUGUGAGGUGAGAUCGGUAGAAGAGUUCAAUAAAACAGGAAUUUUCAGAGCCUAUAAUUUCUUCUCGGAAAAGAAAGGUACCGGAGAAUGGUGCAAAAUAAGCGCUAGCCUGGAGAGAGGAUGCCCUGCCCCAGUCUCUUUCUCUGAGAAGCGAAGAGCUGGCCGUACAAGGACACCCAUCACCUCUGUAACACCACAUUUGUUCUCCAGCCCGGUUAGCUUAGCCAGCUGUGAACGUUUGGAACACUUGAUCAUCGGUAAUGACACGGCACCCAUAACACGCAAACACCACUGAAACAGCGCUUCCGGGAAACUCACGGGCCAGUUAUAUCCCCACGCCCUGCAUACUUGAUAGGAAAGAGAAGCUUCUGGAUGGUUGGAGGGGAGAGAAGUUCGACAUUGGCAGGCACCCAUUAGUGUUGGUUACGACUUGCUAAAAGAAAAUAUUAAAAUAAAAAUUAGAUCAUAAAUUUGGAGCCACCGUUACCAAGCCUAAAGUGCAAAUUGCCAAACAAGUCAAGAGACUCAUUAGCAUUUUAUGUAAAUCAGUUAUUACUGUUCUCCACUUCCUUAAUUAUCCAUGUUAUUUCAAUACAACCCUUUCUUUGAUGUCCCAAUUCUAUAUUUAAAUAGUGCAAGAUUUCUAUCGUAUCCUCCCGCAGAGGUUUGUGCCAUGCAAAAAACAUGCCAAGAGCAGCUAUUUUAGAGACUACAGGGAAAUGUUUAAUUGGUUCAUCCCAUUUGAGUUAUGAGGGUGUGUUACAGAGCACAUAAAAUCAGAAACAUGGAAAGCACUAGCUUGGAGAAGUUUACUAAACCUGCAAGAGACCGCUUGAAAUUUUGCCCCCAAGACUUUUUGGAUUCUCGGUGGGAACUGAUUCAAAGGGAAAUUUUGCAAACUUCGUGGAAUUUUGCUAAAUGAUUGAUUUAUAAUUGAAAUAUUUGGAAAUAAAAUCCAACAGCUCUCUUUCCUUUGGCUCGGAGACUUAUUCUUUUGGUUGGGUGAAGAGAACACGUGACAGAGAGAGGCAGGAGUGUGGGGUGCGUAAGAGAUGUGGCAAAGCACUCCCCGUUCAACUCUUUCCGACCAGUUCAUCUUGUUCUUGUGUUUUUCUUCUUUGAGAUGGAGUUUUGCUCUUUCACCCAGGCUGGAGUGCCGUGGUGUGAUCUCGGCUCACUGCAACCUGUGCCUCCUGAGUUCAAGUGAUUCUCCUGCCUCAACCUCCCAAGCAGCUGGGACUUUGGGCACCUGCCACCAUGCCCAGCUAAUUUUUGUAUUUUUAGUAGAGAUAGGAUUUCACCACAUUGGCCAGGCUGUUCUCCAACUCCUGACCUCAAGUGAUCCACCCAUCUUGGCUUCCAGACGUGCUGGGAUUACAGGUGUGAGCCACUGCACCUGGCCUAAUUCAUCUUUCCUGAAGAGUCACCAUCAGAGAUUUUAAGAACCUGCUCACUGACUUCUUAUUCUCAAGUGAUCUGAAAUUGUAGGUGAUCUCAUGGAUUGCAGAUAUGAGUGGCCUUUUCCUAAUAAAAGAACUUUUGACACAACAAUGUGGCUGCAGGGAACUUCAUCGUUUACUCUCACUAUUUUCUCCUAAGCAUUAGGACCCACACUCUUGGCCAUGUGCCUUUAUCUCCUGCCUCCCUCCUGCCCUUUAACCUCACUUGUUUUUAAAUACUUAUUAAACAAACAAAAGGAAACAAGACCAGAAGGAGAGUCUUUGAAUAUGACCGCAACUGAAAAUAGAAGUGAUAGAAGGACAGGUACUCUUCCCAUGUGUUUUUAAACAAUCACUGUGUCUUUUUUCUAAAAGAAAGGACAGAUCUGGCUAAAGCCUGUAUAUAAUGUAGGCUUGGUGACAGACUCAAGUUCAAGACCAAGGUGUGUACGUGGGCUUGUUCAAGUCGUCCGCCCUUAUUUUUCCCGCAGUGAAACGUAAUUAACCGUGGUUACCUUGAAGAGUUAUCUUAAAUAUUUGUGUUAACGUUAUAUAUGUACAAUGUUGAUUACAUAGUAAGUGUUGUGGAAAUGGUACGCGUAAGCCUCUGCUCUGGGCAAGGCACUGUGCUGAAUGUUUACAGAGACGAUGGGAUGAUCACACUGAAUCCUCAAAACCUUCAUCAAAAUAAGUCCGAUUAUUUUCGUAUGUAUUUAACAGAUGAGGACAAUACGGUUUCUGGAGGCAAGUGACUCACUCAAGAUCACACGGAAUCAAGUGGAGAAGCUGGGCUUUUAAUUCAGAAGUUCUCUAAGCUACAGCUAUCAUUUAGACAAGAACCAUAAACUGUAGUCAGGUUAAUAUAAAGAUUAAAAUAACCCAGAGUUCUCAUAUCCUUCAUCUACAUAAGUAAAUAAUAUUUACAGAAACUCAUCUCUGCAGACUAAAGUACUUUAUUUAAUCUAAUUUAUUGUUUAUUUAUUUAACAAAUACUUUUAUGGGCCUUGCCAUGUUCCAGGCACAGUUGUAAGCACUUACAACUAGUAACUCAUUUAACCAUUUCACAGAUAUUUAUUCUUUUUUUUUUUUUGAGAUGGAGUUUCGCUCUUGUUACCCAGGCUGGAGUGCAAUGGCGCGAUCUCGGCUCACCACAACCUCCGCCUCCUGGGUUGAGGCAAUUCUCCUGCCUCAGCCUCCUGAGUAGCUGGGAUUACAGGCACGCGCCACCAUGCCCAGCUAGUUUUUUGUAUUUUUAGUAGAGACGGGGUUUCACCAUGUUGACCAGGAUGGUCUCGAUCUCUUGACCUCGUGAUCCACCCGCCUCGGCCUCCCAAAGUGCUGGGAUAACAGGCUUGAGCCACUGCGCCCGGCCCUCACGGAUAUUUAUUCUUAGAGCAGCACCGGGGGUUCAUGUGAUGGUUCUACAAAGCAGUGAGAAAGCCUCCUACCCUAGUGCUAACAACCUCGGAUGUCCCUGAGCACUAGCCCAUCUAUAUGGUUUUAAAAAACAAAAUUUAAAAAAUGUGAUUUUUCUGGCCAGGUGCAGUGGCUCCUGUUUGUAACCCCAGCACGUUGGGACGGCAAGGCAGAAGAAUCACUUGAGUCCAGGAGUUUGAGACUAGCCUGGGCAACAUAGCAAGAACUUGUCUCUACUAAAAAUAAAAAUUAUUAGAAGAAAAUAAUUUUUUUAAAAAAUCAUGACUUUUCUGACCGUAUCUCUGGCAUACUCAUUAUAAAAAAUUUGGAAACUAUAAGAAGUUAUAGCCGGGCACAGUGGCUCACACCUGUAAUCCCAGCACUUUGGGAGGCCGGGUGGGUGGAUCACGUCAGGAGAUCGAGAUCCUGCCUAACACAGUGAAACCCCGUCUCUAUUAAAAAAAAAAUAAUACAAAAAUUAGCCGGGCAUGGUGGUAGGCGUCUGGGAGGCUGAGGUGGAAGAACUGUUUGAAUCCCAGAGGCAGAGGUUGCGGUGAGCGGAGAUUGUGCCACUGCACUCCAGCCUGGGCAACAGAGCAAGACUCUGUCUCAAAAAAAAAAAAAAAAAGAAAACAAAAAGAAUUCAUAAAGAAGGCUGGGGGAAAUGUCAAACCAUCACUGUCCCACCAUGUAUUAUUUAUAUCAAUCCAAGAUUUUAGUGGAAAGGGAAAGCAGAUCAUCUAGUACAAAGAAUGUUUUUUAGCUUCUUCUCCACUGCUUGUUUAAGAAUCUGAGCGUAAUCCCAAAGUUACUACUCCAUAAACAAAUCUGGGGCAAUCACCAGACGACCAGACUGAGGGCCCCCAAGGGUUCAAAUUCCUGAGCCCUGUGUUUUCUCUAUAGCUUACUGUCUUGUUCCAUUUGGAAAUAAAGCUACCCUCAAGCAUAUCGAGCGACAUGCUCUCUACAGAGUCCAAAACAAAACACAGAAAAUUAACAUGCUACCAUCCCGCAGGAAGCGAGCGUCUCAGCCUUUUGCCCCUUUUGUUCCUGCGUUGCCCUCCAUUUAGAUGUUGUCACUGGGCCUUGGUAGCAUAAGCUCUUAACAGCCCUCUGUAUUUCCCAUUUUUUUUUUUUUUUAACUCUAGGACUUCCUGUUGCAGAAAUUGGAUCACUUAUCUAAAAACUCCCCACCCCCACCUUCGGUGACUGGUGGGUUUCAUCACCAGGAAAGCACAUUGUUCUAACUCUAAAAGUCCACAGUCUAAAAUCAUCAUCAUGUAUUUUCAUCAGGAUGAAAUAUCGGGCGCUCUGCUCAGUGCAAGGUUUUAUUAAUGAUGUGCUGUCAGGGGCUGGAUGUUCUGCAUAUUUGCAUAUUAAACAGCUGAGUGAAGAAACAUUCCUUUUAUUGCUGCAGGGAAUAAAUCAGUUUAAAGCAAGUUCUCAUCAUUUAUACUCCUUUCAGCUAAGUCUUCUUUUAUUGAAAUAAAUGGUUGAAGUGCUUUGCUCAUUCUUUGAAUACUGAUCAAAUUUACCUUGAUAGGACCUCAGGAAAAAUAAUAUUUUCUUAAAGGUGCAGUAUUGUUCCAUUCUUCGAGUAUUACUUUAAUACAUUAUUGAUAAGUUAAUUUAGAAAUAUCAAGUGAAAGGGGAAGAAAAACAGUUUUGAAUAAAAACGGUGUUUCCUCUGGACUAUUUUGCCAAAUGCGUUUUUAUUGGUAGAACAUAAGCAAAUUAAAAAUGUCAACAAAAGCAGUUUUUAUUAAUAUCUAGUGUACUUUUUUUUGGUAACGAACCAUGAGCUGUUUUUGCAGUGAAAUUCCCAUUAGCAUUAUAUCCUAGCCACAUAUAAGGGCACAGUGCUUACUAGACUCCAAAGCUUGCUGUUUCCUGGGCAGACGCAUGAGAGGUCCCAGGCAAUCAGGCUUUUUUCAGACAUGAAUUAUACCCAGCCUCAGGGUAUAAGGGUCAGGAUCCCUGCAAAUGUUUUGGGUUCUUCUAUGUACUCAUAACCUACUCUCUCUGCUGGAGGUUGAAAACGUACUAUUCAGAUCCUAUGCAUCCUGAAAACAUUUGGAAAUAAAAUUUUGGCCUGCGUCCUGUUUUUGAAAACUUGUAAUGGCUUGCCAAUGUUUUCAAGUUAGGAAAUUUCACAAAAAAAUUACGAUGUCCAGCUUCUCUCAAGAACACAGGUCAGAAAUCCUGAGGCUGUUCUCUGGUCAGUUACUCUUUAGCAGCUGUCUGCCCUAGUACGGAUAGGUGUGCCACCCUCGACACUCCCUGUUGUUUACAUUUUGAGAAUCCUGACUUUUCGCCUUUUACGAUGCCUGCCUGGGGCCUGCGUGUGGUGACUCUUUCCAUCUCUGGUCUAUAUCUUAUCUCUUGGUGGUGAACUCAGUUAUAUAAAGUGUUUGGGCAGUGCCUGGCACAUAGGAUGUGUCCAGAAAACAUUCACUGGCAUUAAAACAGAGGAAACGGGAACUGAGGGUGGUCAGUGACAUCAGGUUUUAUUUCCUUUGUGCUCCCAUCUAAGUACAGAACCACACAUUUUUUAGGUGUCCAGUUUCCUGUCUCCAAAUUAAUUUUAUUUCUUUUUUUUUUUUUGAGACGGAGUUUCGCUCUUGUUACCCAGGCUGGAGUGCAAUGGCGCAAUCUCGGCUCACUGCAACCUCCGCCUCCUGGGUUCCGGCAAUUCUCCUGCCUCAGCCUCCUGAGUAGCUGGGAUUACAGGCACGCACCACCACACCCAGCUAAUUUUUUGUAUUUUUAGUAGACAUGGGGUUUCACCAUGUUGACCGGGAUGGUCUCGAUCUCUUGACCUCGUGAUCCACCUGCCUCGGCCUCCCAAAGUGCUGGGAUUACAGGCUUGAGCCACUGCGCCCGGCCUAAUUUUAUUUCUAAAAAGUAGCCCCCUCUCCUCCUAUGGAUCUUUGCCCAAAUAUCUCCUUCUCAGGAAAGGCAUCCUUAGCCACUAUUUAAAAUAGCAGAUUUCUUUCCAAACUCUGCUGUCCCUGAAUCUCUAUCCUGCUUUACUUUUCUCAAUAGCAGGCAUCAUGUAUUUCUCUAUUUUAUCUGUCUACUUUCUCUUUUGUCUCACUGCCCUCCCCCUCCACACUGGAAAGUGAAAGAAGGCUCAAGGUCUGUCUUGGUCUCUUCUGGGUCCUGAGUACCAGUCCUCUUGCUUGGCACUUGGUAGAGGGCAUGCUUAAUGAAUAGUGAGUGAAUGAAUUGGCUAGUCUUGGUGGCUCACAGCUAUAAUCCUAGCUACUCAGGAGACUGAGAAAGGAGGGUCGUUUGAGCCCAGAAUGUCAGGCUGCAGUAAGCUAUGAGCAUGUGGCUACACUUCAGCCUGGACAACAGAGUGAGACCCUCUGUGUAAAAACAUGCAUCUUUAUUGAAUGAAUGUAUGAAUGACUGAGUGAAUGAAUGAAUGAAUGGAUGUUCUUUAGUUUGGCCUCAAUCUUUGUAGAAAUUCAGUUCAACGAAUAUUUGAGCAUCUGUUUGUGUAGGGCCAUGUGUUGGUUGCAACCUGGAAGGAAGAGCUGGGCAAGGCAGAGAUCCAGUGCUCAGGAAGCUGAGUCCAUGCCAAGAUGUGAUAAUUGUAUAAAGGCUAUAAUAGGCAUAGGUACAGACUGAUAAAAUAUGAAAACAGGAAAACACAUGGUGUCUUGGGGGUAGGGAAGUCUUGUUGAGGAAGAUUGGGUCUGAGAUAAGCCUAAAGGAGGGUCAGGAUUUUGACUGAGGCCUGGAAGGAAGGAGCGAGUAGAAGCUGACGUUUUUUCUGAUCUCUUCUUGCGCGUGGCCUGGGGUUAAGUGCUCUUCAUGCAUCCCCUCACUGACUUCUCAGAGCAGCGCCAUGAAAAGUCCCUGUUCUUCCCAGUAUACUCUGGAGAUGACUGAGGCUCAGAGAGGUUAAGCCACUUAUGCAGGGUGGCACUACACAGCUUGUUCAGAGAUGGCCCAGCAUGUGGCAUCAGUUCAGUCUGGCCCUAGAGCCUUUUCCUCCCACAUCCACACUGCCUCCCAUCCCCAGUGGAGAGACAGGAGAGCAGGGAAGGAGGCAAUUGCCAAGCCUGUUUCUAGAAUCUCACAAAUGCCAUUUAGUGAAGCCGAGGCUGGCGCAGUUACUCUGUGGAGGCACCGGCGUCUUGGACCAAGGGUUGGAUUCAGGGAGGAUCGUGUCCCCUGCUAACCUGCUGUGUGAAAGGUAGAGAAUGAUUACAGGUGCCAAGAUUUUAGAACGCAUUUCUUAUCAUGGUGGCGAUGGGGUUGGGGUAGAAAGAUGGAUGAAAUGGUGCAGUGGCGGAUGCCUGUAAUCCAGGCACUUUCGGAGGCCAACACAGGUGGAUCACCUAAGGUCAGGAGUUCGCGACCAGUCUGGCCAACGCAGUGAAUCCCCAUCUCUACUAAAAAUACAAAAAUUAGCCAGGUGUGGUGGUAUGGGCCCGUAAUCCCAGCUACUUGGGAGGCUGAGGCAGAAGAAUCGCUUGAACACAGGAGGCAGAAGUUGCAAUGAGCCGAGAUCACGCCACUGCACUCCAGCCUGGGCAACAGAGUGAGACUCCGUGUCAAAACAAACCAAAAAGAACAAAUAAAACACAGACACAGGGUUUUUUCCCCCCUCCCUCUUUUAAGUCUUGAAAGAAACAGUAAACAGCUCUUAUUCCUGUUUUUGCCAGGAGACGUAUUGUUUCCAUAUAAAUCAUUUGUGACAGAAGCUCCUUAUUUUUAAGUGGAAAAUGCACAUUUAAUCACAUGCGUAUAAUGUCCAAACAUCUACUCAUUGAUGGCUGCCAGGAGAACACCAGCACUCUUGCUGCCUGGAAAAAGAGACGCUCAGAGGCGACUGUUUGAGGAGUCAUGCUGUCACUGCUGCUUCCUUUGCUUAGGUGAGCUCUGAGCAGCAGCUUCCCAGAGACUCUCUAAUGACAGCUGGGAGCUUUUGUACCUUGCAAAUCCUGGAGUCACAGCAGACCUGGCUUAGGACCCCAGCCCCACCACUAACUGACUGCAUGGGCUCCUAUGGGUUUUUUAUUUUGCCUCUGCAAGCCUCAGUUUUCUCAUCUGUAAAAUAGGCGUAACAUUAGCUUCAGCCCUCAUAGGCUUAGUUUGAAGUUUAAAUAAGAAAAGGCAUCUUGGCUGGGCAUGGUGGCUCACGCUUGUAAUGCCAGCACUGUGGGAGGUCGAGGCAGGUGGAUAGCUUGAGCCCAGGAGUUCAAGACCAGCUUGGGCAACAUAACAAGAUCCAUCUCUGCAGAAAAUACAAAAAUUAGCCAGAUGUGAUGGCAUGCAUCUGUAACCCUAGCUACCCAGGAGGCUGGGGUGGGAGGAUUGCUUGAGCAUAGGAGUUCAAGCCCAGCCUGGAUAACAUGAAAAGACAUGUCUCUGAAAAAUCAGCUGGGCAUGGUGGCAAGUGUUUUUACCCCUAGCUACUUGGAAGGCUGAGGUGGGAGGAUCGCUUGAGCUCGGGAGAUCGAGGCAUGAUCACCCUACUGCACUCCAGCCUGAGCAACAGGGAUCCUGUCUCAAAAAAUAUAAUAAUAAUAAAAGCCACAUAUAGAGCUGGACCUAUCCAAUCCUUUGAGGUAGACAAUGGCCACAUGGGACCAUUUCAAGCUAAAUUAAAUUUUAAAUGACAUUAAAAAUUUAGUCUCUCAGUUACACAUUUCAAGUGCUCAAUGUCCAGACAUGUCUAGUGGCUCCGACAAUGGGUAGCACAGGUAUAGAAAGAAUGCCUCUGUGACAGUAGAAUGUCCCAUUGCACAGCUGAGGUAUGGUGCACUCAGCCCAGUGCUGGCCACAACACAUACUGUGUUGGUUAACACUCAGUUUUAUUGACCGGACAUGGUGGCUUAUGCUUGUCAUCCUAGCAUUUUGGGAGGCUGAAGUGGGAGGAUAGCCUGAGCCUAGGAGUUUGAGACCAGCCUGAGUAACAUAGUCAGACCCUCCCUCUACAAAAAAUCAAAAAAGUAAACCCAGACAUGGUGGCUCACGUCUGUAAUCCCAGCACUUUAGGAGGCCAAGGGGAGCAUCUUGCCUGAGGUCAGGAGUUCGAGACCAGCCUGGCUAACAUGGUGAAACCCUGUCUCUACUAAAAUUACAAAAAUUAGCCGGGCAUGGUGGCACAUGCCUGUAGUCCCAGCUACUCGGGAGGCUGAGGCAGGAGAAUUGCUUGAACCCAGGAGGCGGAGGUUGCAGUGAGCCCAGAUGGAGCCACUGUACUCUGGCCUGGCACCUGGUGACAGAGCGAGACUCUGUGUCAAAAAAUAAAAAUAAAAAAAUUAGCUGGACAAGAUGGCAUGUGCCUGUGUUUCCAGAUACUUGGGAGGCUGAGGUGGGAGGAUGGCUUGAGCCCAGAGGUUGAGGCUACAGUGAGGUAUGCUCUUGCCACUGCACUCCAGUCUGAGUAGCAGAGCAAGACUCUGUCUCAAAACAAAACAAAACAAAACAAAACAAAACAAAACAAUGACAGCCUGAGCAACAUGGAGAAACCCCAUGUCUACUAAAAAUACAAAAAAUUAGCCAGGCAUAGUGGGGCACACGCCUGUAAUCCCAGCUAUUCAGGAGGCCGAGGCAGGAGAUUCGCUUGAAUGCAGGAGGUGGAGGUUGCAGUGAGCCAAGAUUGUGCCAUUGCACUCCAGCCUGGGCAACAAGAGCGAAACUCUGCCUCAAAAAAAAAAAUUCUCAAUUUUUUUAUGUUCGCUAUAAGACGAUAAAGGAGAUAUCCUAGAUAUGUGAGUCAAAGCCCUUUUAACUAUGACUUCAAAACACUGAGGCUGGUGCCGUCCAGGAGUUCCUCCAUAUACAAAAAAAAAAAAAAAAGGAAGGAAACAAAGGAGUAAUACAGGAUUCUCCCAUUACAGUCUCUAGGGACAGACUGAGGUUUCAGUGUUCUCGGUCCUGAUCUCAGGGGAAUCCUGAAUUACAGGUGUUAACCUGAUUAGCCCCCGUCUGGCUCCUCGUUAAAUUACCUGAAGUGGAUGGGACAGUUCCCGAUACUCAGCACAAAUUCGAGUGCAGUGACUCCGUGGCUUACUCCCUAUUUGGCCUUGGAAAGUUACCCUUUAAGUCAGGGUUGCUUGUCUUCCGUUUCGGUGUGUGACUCACCUGGAGAACUGGUUAAAACACAUGUCUCAGGCCUCAUCCCUGGACCCACUAAGUGUCUGGGUUGGAGCUCAGGAGUCUGCUUUUCCAGCACGCGCCCGGAUGUCACUGACGCUUCCAGCUCUCAGACCACAGUUGCAGCAGUGACUUUUAAAAGGCUGUUCCUUUGUAAAGAGUUGUUCUCCAUGCCCCAAAGGAUUGUGAGGAUUGAGAAAAUGAAUACAUGUGAAGUACACAGCCAUUGACAUUGUAGAUACACAGCACAUAGCCUCUGCUCUAUUACUUAAUUUUUACUAAUUACUAUUUUUUACACCUACAAAUCAGGAUCUGCUAGAAUCGCUUGAUUUAGACAACUGGGCCCUAACACACUGUGCCACUCUUCUGUCAUGAAAUAACAAUCCUCUGUUUAAACACUUACCAACCUUUCAGCUCAGUCAUUUUGUACCAGUGAGGAUAAAUGUCUCUGCAUGCAUACACUUGGCAUCACUCUUUAAUAAAGUAUUUUUCCUAUAGCUGAGCGUGGUGGCAUGUGCCUGUAAUCCCAGUUACACAGAAGGCCAAGGCCAGAGGAUCCCUUGAGCCCAGGAGUUGGAGGCUGCAGUGACUUAUGAUCAUGCCAUUGAACUCUAGCCUGGAUGAUACAGCAAGACCCUGUCUCUGAAGAAGCAAAGAGCCCACGUGUGGUGGCUCGUCCCUGUACUCCUAGCACUUUGUGAGGCUGAGGCAGGAGGAUUGCUUGAGGAGUCUGAGAUUGGCUUGGGCAGUAUAGUAAGAUCCCAUCCCUAUUAAACAAUAAAAAAGGAAAACAAAAUUUUAAAGAAAGAUAUUUCUUCCCUUCAGGAUAAUUUGGAGCCAGUACGUUUUGCACCAUUCACUUGUCCCCAGCGUGGGACAAGGGAUACUGCCUUAAUGCCUGCUGCAAAGAGAACAGGUGUGCUUAGGAUCUUUGGAUAAUGCACAGGAGGUGUUUUGCAAAGACAUACUUUCAUGAGUAAACCUCAUAAGCUCCAAGUGAAUGAUUUCCCUGAGCGAAUGAAUGAUUCUGUGACAAUGACACUUCUGUUUUAAGAUGAGAAAUUUUAAGAAAUGAAUCUGUAGGCUGCUCUAAUUGAUACCUUUGGUGGGGUAGGAAGGAUAAUCAUUUAAAACCUAGGAUCUGAUUCCAGAUGCCAUGUUGUUGUGUUCUAUCCCAGAACGAUUUCUAAAUUCUGUUUCCAGUUUCCAAAAGUGCAGGUAAGGAGAACACUGAAUGUUAAUUGGUGUUUAACAAUUUUUUUAAGUUUAUUUUUUUAAAAUAGAGACAAGGGGCCGGGCGCUGUGGCUCGUGCUUGUAAUCCCAACACUUUGGGAGGCCAAGUGGCGGUGGAUCACCUGAGGUUAGGAGUUUGAGACCAGCCUGACCAACAUGGUGAAACCCUGUCUCUACCAAAAAUACAAAAAUUAGCUGGCCACCAUUGGCCACCAUUGGCCAACACUUUAAUCCCCCAGCUACUCAAGAUGCUGAGGCAGGAGAAUUGCUUGAACCCAGGAGGCAGAGGUUGCAGUGAUCCAAGACCGUGCCACUGCACUCCAACCUGAGUGACAGAGUGAGACUCUGUCUCAAUAAUAAUAAUAAUAAUAAUAAUAACAAUUAAAUGAAAAUAAAAACAGAGACAAGGUCUGGUUUUGUUGCCCAGGCUGGUCUUGAACUCCUGGAUUCAAGUGAUCCUCCUGCCUUGGCUUCCUAAAGUGCUGGGAUUACAGGCUUGAUCUGCCACACCUCACCCCUUAUUUUCGAUAUCAUUGAUAAACUAUGGUCUUCAAGGAUUUGUGGGACUUUUCAUGUUCAAUACCCAGUGGCCAUGAUUUGGGGCGUGAGGAGCUUACCAUGAUGUAGAAUUCAGAUUUUCUGAGUGUUUAAUUAGGCUUCUUUGGUCACAAGGAACAGUUUUACUUGUGCCACCUCUUCUAAGAAAAAGGUUUGUUGUAAGAGAUAACAUUGGCAAGCUGAGGAAAGGAGGCAGUUUUGGGGAACUGUCUCCUGUGAUCCCCUCCUGCAGAGCCGCCUAGUUCUUUUUGUCUGACUAGCUCCUUCUCUCACUGCUAGAUUUAUUCAUUGCCCUCCCUCACAAUUUUGACUCACACAUGCUACUUUUUCUCAUGACCGUGCAACUCAACUCGACCUUAUGGCAUCUUUUCAUCAGCUGCUGCAGGCUUCAAGUCAGUUUCCCAGUUCCCUAGUGCGGAAAUCUACUUGUAUGAGUCAUCUUUGCCAUUGGUAGAUUGCAGAGCAGACAUCUGGACAGAUUUGCCCUUGGCUCACAUAUGAUUGGACCUGUGAUCUCUCCAGGUGUACUCAGAGUGGGGAAGGGGAGUGGUGGCAGGUGAUAUGAAACCCACGCAAGUAGGAGGACCCAUGAAUCAUGGGAGUUUUCCUUAGCAGGGAGUGCGAGUGGGCAGGGAUAACUGGUUUUGCAGUUGAGCGCCAGUUGCGUUGGAAUGACAGCUGUGGUGUGUUAAGUCCGAUCAAGUCCAGAAUUCCUCUCCACCCCACCCUUUUGCAGUUCCCCCAGAUGUACUACGGGACCUGGAUGUGAUGCAAGCAUGCCUGCUGGCUUAGGUUGUGCUUCACAGCUGCAACAUCCCUGGGGUGGAGAAGCCACGUGGGGCCUCACAGAACCCUCCUCCCUCCCUGCUAAAGGCUGAGAAAGGGCACUGCCCAAGUAGUUGACAUGAAGAGGGUUGAGGGGGCAGUUAUCUUCUUCCAGGUUAAUCUCAGUUUGGGCUGCAUUGAACUAUAUUCGUAAUGGGCCUCAUCAUAUUGAUCUAUAGAAACACCAUAGUUGUCACCUAACUGAGCUUUUCUUUGUUCCCAUGUUUCAAUGAGGCAGUUACUAAAACUCCUUUGAGAAAUGAGUUUUGUGAAUUACAAGUGUAUUUCACUUGUAAUUCAGUCGUCUUAUAGUCAGAGCAUGGGAACGCUCAUAGUGUGUAUCAGAAACUAGGAAACAUAUCAUUUUACAGCUCUGUCUGCAAAAAUGCAUCGUGAGCCUCACUGGGGAGUGUUCUCAAUGUGAUUUUUAUUCUGGGGUGUCCUUUGGCCACAGUCCUUAGGAUUUUUUUUUUCUCUUUGCUGUGUGCUGUAACAGGGUCCACCCACUGAGAUCUUGCUGUUCAGUCUGCUAGGAUCUCCACUUCUCCCUGCAGUGGGAUGUCUAGUCAGAGUUUCCAUUCUGUUUUUAUGACCCUGGGAGGACUGGGAGAGAUCUGUGAGGUCAUCUUGUCCACCCUCAGCCAGGGCAGGAGUGUUCCCUAAUGGUACAGUCAAGUAUUUGGUUCAGUCUUGCUUCAGAUGACUCAAGUGAUGAGUCCUAGGGACAUCCCUUGGGAAACUAUUCUGCAGCCCAAUAACUUUCACUGUGUGAUUUUUUUUUGUAUGUGUCUAAUAUUGAGAGUCUGACACAGUAAAGUCAUAAAGAGCUGUCUGUUUACAGCAGAUCUUCACGUAGGAGUAUUCUCAUAAUAGUUACUUUUGUUGUAAAUCUUCAUCUAGCAUGGGAGUUAAGUGCAUUUUAAAACUAGACCUAGGGACUAUGUAUCCUAAAAUGCAAGAAUAGCCCCCAAAAAGAAAAUUAAUGUUGAAAACCUAGUUGGUCUGCCAGCAGUGUGUAUGUAACUGUUCUAUGUAUAGUUCACAUAGCAAUAUAUGUUUUGCUUUUGCGGUACUAAAAGCAAAGGCAGAGAAGCUUCUGCUACUGAAUGCUUAGCACAAAACUCCUAUCCUUCCUCUUUAAAAUUAGUCCCACAGUUGCCCCUUAAUCUGCUUGCCAGGAAGUAAGCUGUUGGCUCGUGUCUUUCACUGAUGUGGGGUGUAUCUGUAAUCUUGGUCACUGUUGAGAGCCUGGUGGGAGGCUAACCAUUGUUGAGGGAAAGAUCUCAGGGCAUAGUCAAGAAAAAGAGAGAGAGAGAGAGAGAGAGAGAGAGAGAAAAGAAAAGAGAGAGAAGUGGGGAGGGAGAGAGGGAGGAGAGACAUGGACCCAUGGGUGAUGGGAAGAGAAUAGGAGACUUAGAAUUGGGGCCAGGCAUGGUGGCUCACACCUGUAAUCCCAGUACUUUGGAUGGCCAAAUUAAGCAGAUAACCUGAGGUUGGGAGUUCAAGACCAGCCUGACCAACAGGGAGAAACCCCAUCUCUACUACAAAUAUGCAAAUUAGCUGGGCAUGGUGGUGUGUGCCUGUAAUCCCAGCUACUCGGAUGGCUGAGGCAGGAGAAUCGCUUGAACCUGGAAGGUGGAGGUUGCAGUGAGCCAAUAUCGAGCCAUUGCACUCCAGCCUGGGCAACAAGAGCAAAACUCUGUCUCAAAAAAAAAAAGAAGGAGAAGAAAUAGGGAAUUUGAAAUGUAAUAAAACAAAAGGAGGGAGGAAAGAUGGGGGAGUAUAGGAAGAAAUGAAGAGAAUGUGUUUGAUUUGGGAUCUGUAGACUGGGGAAAGACAUUCAAACUGGCAGGACCCAAUGUUCACUGGAAGUUUUUCCCUUGUGGAUCCUUCUUUAGAUGCAGGAAUCCGGUUCUCAAAGUGUGGCUCCCAGGCCAGCAACACCAGCACCACUGAGAAAUCUGUUACAAGUGCAUAUUCUCUGGCUUCACCCCAGAAAUUCUGAAUCAGAAACACUGAGGGGAGUGGGCCCAGCUGUUUGUGUUUCUGGAAGUCCUCUGCUUUGAGAACCAGUGACAUAGGACAUUCUUCUAGGAAUCCAGUUGUUUAAGGAAAGGCCAGAAGGUAUUUAUGUUUAUAAGCAGCUCCACCCUGCACUCCAGAUGCCUUCUCUAGCUAUCUAACAGAGACAGAGUUGAGUUAAUAGUUCAGAUACUCAGAGAUAAUAAUUCAAAAACUAUUAUCUGUGGCUAGGAGACAGGCUUCAUUUCCAAAACUCACCCAGGAAGGCCAUGUUCUUUUUUCAUCUGGCAUUUUUCUGUUGACUGUUUAUGAAGCCACAUGGUAAUAAACAGAUUCCAUAUCCACACAGCAAAGGCCUGUGCCAUCCAAGUUAAGUGGAACAUCAGGUUAUAUAUCUCAGUUUUUCUUACGUUUCCCCAGUUGCCACAUCAUGGCCAACAAGAGGGUAGGGAUCAUUAAGGAAUUUAUUUCCAUCUUUAUUUUAUCAUUUAAUACACAUUUUUUCCAAUGAGAGUACGGAUGACAUAAAUGGUUACACAUUGAGUGACUACCCAAAUUAACAGUGUUUCAUUUUCACACUGUUCACACAGUUCUCUUGUCUCUGUUCAUGAUAGAACAGUAAAUCCAAGUUGCUUUAAGUAGAUAUUGGAAAUAUGAACCCAAUAUGUUCUCAGUGUUUCUAUGGCAUAGUUAUAAUUUAAACUCAAAAUCUCAUGAGAUUACAUUUGAGGUUAAAGGGUUGUACUUACCAAAAGAGGAGACUCGAAAAUGUAGAAGUCCAUUUUCCACGUGGCCUAAGAUUGUUGAAGGAUUUGUUCUAUUGCAUGCUGAUAAAUAUUUAUCAUGGUUAAGUGAACAGUCAUUUGGAGACAGACACCGUUUUAUGAUGCAGCUUCUCAGGGUAGCCUAAGUGUGACUCUGCCUUGCCAUUUUAUGUUUUAUCGGAAUACGCAGACAUAUACUUUAUGAGGUUGAGUAAUGAGGAGAGAGAGACCCCAGUAAACAUAUUUUCUAAGAGUAAUGGUUAUCUAUAGCUCAGCAACCCUCAGUUAGCAUAGCUUCUAUUACACAGUACAAGGCAAGCACUUCAUAGCUCAAUUAGAUGUAACUUGCGUCAUUUUUAGGCCUGAUGUUACUCCAAAUUAACACUAUAUUUCAUAUUCUCCAGGUCUGACUAUUAACCGGAUUUGGGAACCUUCAGGGCUUAUUAUUUAGUAAUCCCUGAAGCUCCCAAGUAGGCAUUUUAAAAUUCAUGCAUUAGAACAGAUUAAAAAUUACCUGGAAAGGCGUGUUAAAUGCCCCACUCCCUUUCUUUUGCUAAUUGUGCUAGAGGUAAAAAAGAAAAUGCCAGUAAGGUCAGAUCUAGUUUGGUACAAAUGAACUUGCUUUUUGGUUUGCUGCUAAUUGUUGCUGAAACAAGAGUUGUUUAAAUGAGUAAAUAAUUUUUGAAAUCAUUGUAGGGUCUCACAGAGCCACAAUUCAAACUCACAAACCGGGAAUGAUUAUCUUUUUCUUUAUAUCUUAAAGUUUUCUGCAGUAGAAAUGAAUUUUGAAUGUAAGCUAGGAAAAAAAAAGUGAGGCCUCACUAUGUAUAUAAAAGUAACAAGAUGUGCAAAUGUUUUGAAGAACAGUGAUUUAUUUAGUUAAGCCGUAGAAAGCUUGGUUUUGUUUCUUGUUGCAGCAUCUUUAUCCUUAGUUCUUAAUCCGAAAUUGGAAGAUUUUCCAAGAGAAAAUUGACAAAGAUCAUUCACGAUGCGUCAUUAUGUAAGUUACUUCAUUUGUAAAAAGAUCCUGACAAAUCCUACUUUUCCAGAUCCCGAUGCACUAACUCCCAUUCACUUCUUUCUAUUUUUCCUCUCUCUAUUGCAUAUUAAACCACCAUAUUUAGAGAAUAGAAGCUUCUGCCGUCAUUAUAUCAUGCCUUCCUCAGCAGAGGCAGCUGUCCUACCUCCCCGUCCUGCAGGAGUUCUCCGGCCAUCCUUUCAGCCACUGUUACUCUGCAUGGGGCAGUUUGGCCCCCAAGGGAUAAUUGAUCUUGUCUUGAGGCAUUUUUUGGUUGUCAGAACUUGGGGAAGAGACGAGGGAUUGAGGGAGGGUGCUCCUGACAUCUAGUGGGUAGAUGUCAGUAAUAUGACUUGGCUGUGUCCCCACCCAAAUCUCAUCUUGAAUUGUAGUUCCCAUAAUCCCCACGUGUCACAGAAGGGACCCGGUAGGAGGUGAUUGACUCAUGUGGGCAGUGACUCCGAUGGUAUUUUCACGGUAGGGAGUGAGUUCUCAUGACAUUUGGUGGUUUUAUAGGGGGCUUUUGCCCCUUUGCUUGGCACUUCUCCUUUCUGCUGCCAUGUGAAGAAGGGCAUGCUGCUUCCCCUUCCACCAUGAUUAUAAGUUUCCUGAGUCCCCUGCAGCCAUGCUGAAUUGUGAGUCAUUUAAACCUCUUUGCUUUAAAAGUUACACUGUCUCACAUGUCUUUAUUAGCAGCAUGAGAACAGACUAAUGCAGUCAGAGAUGCUACAGAACAUCCCACAACACACAGGACUCCCACCCUCCAACCCUACCCCACCAACAAUCAUUCAGCCCAAAAUGGCAGUAAUGAGGCCAUUGAGAAAUGCUCUUCAAGCUACACGUCACCAUUGGAAGGUUGCCAAACUGUGCUUUGCACACACAUGCUGUCUGAACGCCUUGUAUUUUUCCUUUGCUUACUCCUCCUGCUCCCCAAAUACCCCAGAUGUUGUAUUUCCGUAACAAACCCUGGCUGAGUCCCCUAAUAUUCUGGGGUGACUUCUGAACUCUUCUAUCCCUCUGGCAAAGACUCCUUGACCAAACUUUAGCUUGGCUCCUCAGAGCCCACUUCUCAACUAGGCCUUGACCUUGGUCCUCUGUCCUUGCUGGAUCUUCAUAGUCCAGUCUUAGCAAGAGUCCUGCUAAGUCAAUUUAGAGAGAAUCCCUUCACCCUUGAUAUCUGAACACCUUCGCCUGCCUUCAGCAAGAAUCUUGCUAAAUUGGUUAAGUUGGAAUACUCCUACCCUCGUGGUUCCUUGUAGUAAUUUUCCAUCCACUGACCCUCCCGCUGCCCUGCCGCUCUGCUCUUUGGCUAUAAGUCCCCAGCUGUCUUUAUUAUAUUUGGAGUUGAGCCCUAUCUCUCUUCCCUAUUGCAACAGUCUUGAAUCCUGUUGCAAUAAUCCUGCAUACAGUCUUCCUUACCAUGUUAACAAAUGUCAGGAUAACUUUUGUGUUUUUGAGGUGAAGUCUCACUCUGUUGCCCCGGUGGGAGUGCAGUGAUGUAAUCUCAGCUCACUGCAACCUCUGCCUCCCGGGCUCAAACAAUUCUCCUGCCUCCGCCUCCCAAGUAGCUGGGAUUACAGGUGAAUGCCAUCAUGACAAGCUAAUUUUUGUGUUUUUAGUAGAAAUGGGGUUUCACCAUGUUGGCCAGGGUGGUCUCGAACUCCUGACCUCCAGGUGAUCCAACCACUUUGGGCUCCCAAAGUGCUGGGAUUACAGUUGUGAGCCACCAAGCCCGACCAGGAUAACGUUUUAACCACCCAGCCAACACACUGUCAACUCUUUAAGGAUCGGGACCAUGUGUUGUCUAGGACCAGAUAUGGUGCACAUGGUGUGAACACAUAUGAAGUGUCUGUUGGCCAGGUGCGGUGGCUCACACCUGUAACCCCAGCACUCUGGAAGGCUGAGGUAGAAGGAUUGCUUGAGCAAAGUGUUCAAGACCAGCCUGAGCAACACAGCGAGACCCCAUCUCUACAAAAAAUAAAGAAAAUUAGCCAGGUGUGGACGCAUUCACCUGUAGUCCUAGCUAUUCCAGAGACUGAGAUGGAAGGAUCUCUUGAGCCCUGGAGUUCAAGGCUGCAGUGAGCCAUGAUCAUGCCACAGUACUCUAGCCUGAGUGACAGAAGGAGACAUUGUCUGAAAAUUUUUUUAAAAAUGGGGCCGGGCACAGUGGCUCAAGCCUGUAAUCCCAGCACUUUGGGAGGCCGAGGCGGGUGGAUCACGAGGUCAAAAGAUCGAGACCAUCCUGGUCAACAUGGUGAAACCCCAUCUCUGCUAAAAAUACAAAAAAAAAAAAAAAUUUAGCUGGGCAUGAUGGCGCAUGCCUGUAAUCCCAGCUACUCGGGAGGCUGAGACAGGAGAAUUGCCUGAACCCAGGAGGUAGAGGUUGCUGUGAGCCAAAAUCUCACCAUUGCACUCUAGCCUGGGUAACAAGAGUGAAACUCUGUCUCCAAAAAAAAAUGAAGAAAUGUUUGUUGAAUGAAGUUAUGAAAGCAUUUGGUGGAAACAGGACACAUAUGUGAAUAUAUUCAUAGUUGCAAACUCAAAAGGAUGCUCGAAAGCUGGUUCUUUGUCUUGUCCCUUUAUCUAGGCUUUUUCCAGUCACAGCCUGGAUGCAUGCAUGAAUAAACUGCUACCAUUAAGUCCCUGAAUUAUUUAAGCACUGCAAGUGAUUCUAUAAAAACCAUACAGUAAAAUGAAUUACAUACGCGUAUAUUUCAAGAGCUCCAGUAGCCUUCCCAGGAUGGCUUGACGUUGUCUCUUAGCGCUGCAUCAAUACCUGGGGGUUUUCAAAUAUUGCAGGUGGCUGAAGCCCUUGUGUUCACGUUUCUGUAGUCUUUAUCCAUUUGUGAAACCAGGUCCCAAUCUAUACGUCCAACGCCAUUCCUAGACCUCCUUUGAUAAUCUCCACUAAGCAGAUGCACUCGAUACAUCUUCACUAAUGGGUUCUGACUUCAUAAAAUGUAUUAAUGACUCCUUUUUGAAAGUAAGAGUGCGUUGAAUACAAGUCAUUAUUGCUUUAAAAGUUCAUAAAAGCAAAAGCACAGUAUUUCCCCUGGUGUUUGUGCAGUAGGAGAAUAGAUGUCCACCCAGGGCCUCGCAUUUUAGCUGUGCUUCUCUUGUUUGUGAUUGCAGGUUUCAGACUGCCUGGUAGGAGGACGUCACUUCUGAUUCGCUUCUCUUUCUGACGGACUGUUGUCUUUCUGAUUUUGUGGAAUUCUUAUCUUGCAAAAAGUUUGCAAUCAUUUCAUUUUCAACAUAGUUUUAUCACAUGACAAAGGUGACAGAAAGGAAGACUCUUACUUCAGCCUACAUGGUGCUUGAGAAAACCUCAUCUGGCUGGGGAUGGUGGUUCACACCUGUAAUUUCCUCAGUUAGAGAGGCUAAGG